AAGAAACCAAAAAUUGGCGGUGGCUGAGAGCAAAACCAAAGCUGUCGUCCUUUCUUACUUUCUUUCAAAAACAGACUCGAGUGAGUGACAAAUGAGAGAGAACAAGGGUAAGAGAAACCAGUUACAACUUAGGUGAGCAUCAUAAUCAAUUAGCCAGACCUGAGGAAGGGACUGCAAGAAACGGGAGAAUCGAGUGCUAGGAAUUGAGGAGUUGGAAUAGCAAUUCUAGCAGCCUGCGACAAGAAACCUUAGGCAAGAAUGGUAACCUUUUCACUGUAACUCGCUGAUUAGAUAGUAUAAUUAGCUAAACUUGAGCUGCAGGUAGAGCUAGCUAAGAACUUAGUUUCUGGUGUGAGAAAUGUUAUGCAGAAACUGUGAAAAUUGCAGAAAUUGGAACUUAUAACUGUUCUUAAUAUUUCUUAGGAUGAUAAUGUUAAGAAUCUGCAAUAACUUUAUGCUGACUCGGUAAAAAUGAAUGAAUGAAUACGCUGCAUGUAGUGUUUGAGUAGAAAACUGAGCUUCGACUGAGGAAAGAAACCUGGUGCAGGCUGCUAUGCAUCAGAAUUUGCAACCUUGCGCAGACCUGAGACUUAAUCCAGUUUUCCUUUUAAAUUCUGGUCAUAAACCUCUAUGCUUUGCUUAUGAUAACCUGCAGUAGAUUAAGUAUCCUCUGCAUGAAUGAUUGAGACCAAAAACUGAGGAAGUGAAGGUAAGAAAAUGUCAAACGAUAAACUGUGGUCUUGCUGGAAACUUUGUGACUGCAACCGAGAGUGAAAAAGAAAGAAACUUUGGCGAUCCUCUACAACUUUAGCUCCUAAACCUGUGUAGUAAGUGUAACAUGUCAUACAGACCUUAAACCUCAACAAGGAAGAUUGAAACCAGUAGAAACUCAACUAAACAUUAAAGGAGGAAUGAGUGCAGGUGAUGGCAGGUUGGUUGGCCGAGGGAAUGAAGCAGAGUGUGCUUCUGACCAUCCAUUUUUUACCCUGAAAUGGCGAGAACUGGGUGUCAUUGUCUUCAUAGGAAAUGUAGGUCUAUGUAUUAGCUUCGAAACGCUAUAAAAUUUGCCUCAAUCCGAUAAGUGUAGCUUCAGUUGUGAUCAAAACACCAGAGGUUGGCAAAGCUGCCUUUCUCGUUGCCUUUCUCUUUUUCUUCCGAAUGCAUUCUACUUGAUGCUGGCCGUGAGGAAACUUAUUUUUUUAACAGCAUUUCAUCUAAUUCCCAACCCUGUAAGCAUUCAUAAAUGAUAGUUAAGAUUGCUCUGAGAUUUAACGACUAUAUCUAGUUCCACGAGUAGAGUUAAAUUAAAGCAAAUGAGAGGAAAACUCAUGAUAGUUAUAUACCUAAAUUGGCUUCUAAUCAAUUAAUAUUGUCUUUACAAAUAUGUUAAAAACUAUAAAAUUUGAGGGACGAGUGUAGUGGAAUAAAAUUUAAUUUACAAAUAACUUAGAGUUUAACUAAUUUAAAAAGGGAACCAAUGUAUAUUCAUAAGCUUUAAACUUAGCAUCUUGAGUAGAAAAUGAUUUAAUCCUAAUGUAAACAUUUUAUAAAUUAUUAACUUGGAAAGUAUGAAUAUUUCGUGAUUCAGAUAAUAAAGUUAAUAAGUCUCGAAAUAAAUUGGGGAAUAAAUAUUGCGUAUAUUUUAUAUUUUAAAGUCAAACCUAAUUCGAAUAAUUUAAAUAAUAAGUGAACAUCUACAAAUUAUAAAUUUACCAUGGAAUUAUCUAUUUAUCUCAGGAAGUAGCUGCGAGCCAAGAAACAGACCCGAGGGUCGAGAGUAAAUUAUUUGGAUAAUUGGUGAGUGUUUUCCGAAUUUAUGUGUUUAACUGUUUAUGUGUAUCUAAGUGAAAUUAUGUGACAAAUGUGCUUAUCAUGAAUUAUUACUAAAUGAUUCCUUGUGAAGUGUAUCUCAAUUGUCCCUCGCCUUCUAAGUCGAAGGUGUACUUUAUCGCACUCGGCUUAGUUGAGUUUAAAGGUCGAUAAUUGACUGAAUAUUACUGUAAGUGUGCAUGAAUGUAAGCCGUAUGUGUGCCUCACCGCAUCGGCUAAACUGGGCCCCAAAACCCUCUGUUUAAUGGACUAUUCGAGCCAGCAAAGGACUUGGUCAGGUAGGACGGUAACUUUGGGUAAAUGUUUCAGUAUACUCGAGUAUUACCAUGAGGUUGGGAGAUUAUUGAACUGAUUAUUGAAUGUAGGGGAUUGUUUAUUGUUUUGGAGGACAUAAAGAAGUGAAUCGGCGGAAUGUGCAAUAAUAUUGAAAUGAAUGCACAAUGAUAGUGAAAUGAGUGUCUCUUGACACUAAAAUGAAUGCUCAAUGAUCUUGAAGUGGCUCUAAUGCAAGCACCGUAUCCUUUUGAAAGUGAUUGUUUAGUGAAGUGUUUCCUCAAUUGCUUAAUGAAAGUGAUUGUACAGUAAAAUGUGCACUACUUGCUUAAUUGUACUAAUUUAAGUGUUUAAUUAAAUGUUGCUUACUCGGCAAACCUCACUGAGUUUUAGCUUAGCCUUUUAGUUUUAUUUUUCUUACAGGAGUUGGUGGUCAGGGAACGAAUGAGGUAUCUUAGGGAGUUAACGUGAAGAUUUUUGUGAUUGUAAAUCCUUUAGUUUCAUAUUAUGGUUGAAACUUUUGUAUUGAACUUGGUAUUGUAAAAGAUUUGAGCGUUUGGUUUUGGUUAUCAAAAUGUUAUCUCUGAAGUUAAUGUAAGUAAGUGAGCCCUGACGAGAAUCAGGCAGGCGAUCCGCUAACUUUUAGGGUAUGCCCUAGGAGAAUGUGGGGCUGUCACAAGCAAAACUCUCUUUUGAUUGUUAUGCCAAAUUAAAGUUGUUUGAGAAAUAUUCUCCUAUCGUACUAUUUUUAAAAAUUUUUUGUUCUUAUUUUAUCCAUUAAAAUUCCCAAAAUCAUGUGUUAUUCUAUAAAAUAGAAAGUGAAAAAAAUCAAGGAAAAAAAAGGAAAAAAUUCAGAAAAUUAUACAUUGUAUAUCUUUUUCUAAUUCUAUAGGAUUUGACUAGUAUUAAGGUUUGCCCGUUUUCAUAAUGAAUUGGGUUGGAUAUCCAAUUAGUUAUUUUAUUUUAACUUAAACUUGAUUAUUGAUUUUUUUUUUUCAUUUCUCAAUCAAGGAAAAAAUUAUCCUGUCAAUCUUUUGACUGCUAUGCAUAUUCGAACCACUUUCUUCGAAAUCAACACUGAAAAAUUCUGAGGCAUGAAUUUGCUGUAUUUGCAUGGUAACAUUUUUUAUACACAAAUCACUUUCUUAUUCCUCUUGUUUGUGUCUGUAAAUACCUUACCUCCUUAAUAAUGUUCUUUUUUUUUUUUGGCAUUAGAUGUCAGAUGCAAACAAUGAAAACAUUGUUAUUACAAUCAUAGAUGUUGAAGCAACAAAAACUGUAGCCAAAUAAGAACCUGAAGGAGAAGAGAAACAAAGGUGAAAAGAGGAAAAGAGAAGUGAAGGUGAGGCCCCAAGUUUGGGCUCAUUUCACCAAGAUUCCACCAAAGGAGGAGGAAUGUACUUGCAAUUAUUGCAAGAAAGUUUUCUCCUGCCAUAGUAAAGGAGGAACAACUCAUUUGCAUUGACAUAUAUUUGGGGGCAUGUGUGUAGCCUACAAAAGAGUCAUGGAUGGACAACCGUCAAAAGGGCAAAUGCUUCUUAACUUCCCCAAAGGUAAUUUAGAUCAAACUAGUAAUUCUGUUUGAAAAAUUGAUCAAGAGAGUAAUCGAAGAGAUCUAACAGAGCUUAUAAUUAAUCGAGAGCUACCAUUCAAUUUUGUUGAAAAUAAAUCAUUUCAAAAGUAUGUUUUAUGUCUUAAUUCGAAGGUUCAAUUUGUGUGUAGAAACACAAUGAAAAGUGACUAUAUGAAAAUAUAUGAAGUUGAAGAAGUAAAUUGAAGGAGAUUUUUUUGCAAUCCAAGAGUAUGUUUGACAAUAGAUACUUGGACAUCUAAGACGGAUCUUCCUUUCAUGGCGUUGAUUACUCAUUUCAUAGAUAAUCAUUGGAAAUUACAUAAAAAAAAUUAUCAAUUUUCUCUUGGUUCCAAUGAAGGCAUCAGAGGAGAAUAUAUUUCAUAUAAUUAUCAAUUAUUUGUUAGAGUAUAAUGUUGAUAAAAUAUGUACCAUAACUAUGGAUAAUGCUUCAACUAAUAAUAUUGUUGCUAGAUGCCUACAAGAGCAUUAUUCAUUUAGAGGUGCAUUAUUGGUAAAUGGGAGAAAUAUUCAAGUUCAUUGUUGGGGUCAUGGUCUUAAUUUGAUUGUUCAAGAAGGAUUGGAUGAAAUUAACGAUUGUAUUCAUAGGGUUAGGAAUGUAGUGAAAUAUGUUAGAGGAUCUGCUAAGAGAAAACUUGAGUUUCUACACUAUGAUAACCAGGAAUGUAUUCCCAGAAGCAAAAUGUUAUCUCUAGAUAUAUGUACAAGGUGGAACUCAACAUAUUUAAUGCUUGAAUUUGCAUUGCAUUCUAAGAAAGCUUAUGACCGCAUGAAAACUUGUGAUUUGAACUUCAAAGAUCAUCCAUUGGCUAAAGAUUGGGAAAAAGCUCGGAUUGUUCAUGGUUUUUUAGAAACUUUUUACACUGUCACAAAAAUUUUCUUUGGCAGCAAAUAUUGCAUAGCUAAUGCGUUUCUUCGUGAAAUUUACCGUGUGUUCAUAUUAUUAAGAAAAAUUUCUAUAGAGGACAGUCCACUUCUUGGAAGCAUGCGCAGCUAACAUGUUGGUGAAAUUUGAGAAAUAUUGAUUAGAAAAGAGCCAAAUAUCUUGAUAUCUGUUGCUUUUGUUUUAGAUUCCAUAUUUAAAAUGAGAAAAUUGAAGACCAUCUUUAGCAAGAUCUAUGAGAGCUAUUUAGCACCAUGUAUGUUAGAUCGUGUUCAAAAAACACUUUAGGUUUUUUCAUUGAGUAUGUAAUGGCUUAUGAAGUGAGUUGUCAGCAGGAUAUAACUUCACAAAUGAAGAAAACUACAGGGGCAGGCAGCAACACUUCUUCCACAGCAAAAAAGAAUUACAUGGAUGAUUUUCAUAGCCUUGACAAGGAGGAAGAUAACACUUGUAGCAAGACACACUAAAAAGUAGUGUUUACUAUACCAACUCCUUCUCAGUCUAAGAGUUAAAAUCAACCCCUCUAUUAGCUUUUUGAGAGCCAAUAUUGGUAAUGCAUAUCUGAAACUUUAACUUUUAUUAUUCGUUGAAUAAAUUUUUGUGUUGAUAUAAUAUUGAUUGAUUUCUUUUCGUAUGUGGCAUGUUUGGAUUCAAGUCGCAAAGUAAUAAAGAAAUUCCAAUAUUUGAAAAUAUAUUGGCUUAUGACCAUAUAUUUUAUUACUAUUUUUUAUGUACUUUGAAUGAAUUAGAAAUAAAUAUUGUUGAAAAAAUUCUUGGUUUAUAUACUUUUAAGAACUAUUACUCGUUCAUAUUUAAUUUUAAUAUUGUAGUCUUAUGAAUGUUAAAUUAGUUUUAUAAUUUAAUAAUUAUAGUAAUUAUAUUAAGAAAAUUGAAUAAUAAGUAAGCUUGGGUUAAACCCAAAUAAGACUUACAAUCCGAAUAAUAUGUGAGUUGAGUAUGAAUUUCACAUUUAUUAAUCCGAAACUCAUAACCCGAAACCCGAAAGUGGUACAAAUUAAAUGAGUUAAAUUUAAACUUAUGAAAGCCCAGCUCAUUCGGCCCAAUUGAUAGUCCUAACCACAAGGGGUAUAGUUGUUAUGAUCCUAUAACUAAAUGUCUUAGAGUCUCUCGUCAUGUUCUCUUUUGGGAACAUAAAUUUUUUCAGGCAUGUCUACAUUUCAUGUCUUAUCUAAUUCUCCACAUUUUUUUUACUAAUAAUCUUAUAGAUCUAUUUCUAGAAGAAAAGUCAUCUGUGUAGGUCUUGACAACUUAUCUGUCGAUCCUCCUAAUGACCCUUCUAACCAUGUUGAUUAGGCUGUAGAUUUUGUAAAAUCUUCAUUAUCACCACCUCUAACUUCCUCUUCUUGUCGAUCAACCAGAGUAAGAGUUGCUCCAUCUUAUUUAAGAGAUUACCAUUGUUAUCCUGCCUUGCUACCCUAUGUGAGCCUUAAACAUAUUGAGAGGCUUGUUCUAAUCCCAUUUGGCAGAAAUUAAUAACUGAGAAUUGCAAGAUCUCACCCAAACACAUACAUGGGAAUUGGUUGAUCUACCUUUAGGAAAGUCUGCAGUUGGAUGCAAAUAGGUGUGAGGACCCGAAAAUUUUCUUAUUUUUUUACUGGCUUAAUUAAUAAUUUAAUUCGACUAUUUAAAAUUUAUUUAUAUGGAAAAACGCCUCUCUUAUGUUUUUAAAGCGUUUUGUUAGAAAAGUUACUAUUCGAAAACUCGUUUAGUUCGGAACAACAAGUACACGCUUUUCGAGACUAUAUUUGAAUUAAGAGUAUAUUAAUUUUGGAAAAGUAAGAAUGAUCACUAGUAAAUUGAGAAAAGUCGUGAGGGCUCGCAAAAUUUAUUUAUUUUAAACUCCUGUUACGAGUUUAUUUAAAUAUUUAAUUGCCUGUUUGCCCCGAAUAUUAUUUUCUAACCUUUUUAGACCCAAUUACAUGGAAUUAUGGCUUACAUGUAUUUUUAAAAUGACUCGUUUCGAAAAUUAAUUUUUGGAAAGUUAGAUUAGUGAGAAUAGCGAAUACGCGUUUGGAGAUAAUAACCGAUUUGAGAGUACAAUAAGCUUGGAAAAUUGGAGACUUGUACAUUAGCCUUGAAAUAGGUAUUUUUAUGUUUAAGUGCUCAAGUGAUAGUUAGUUAUACUAUCGUUAUAAGAAUUUCUUGGGAAUUUCACUUUAUCGCGCUUAAAUCGAAAGUACGCAUUUUUACGCGCGCGAUCAAUUAAGGGACUUAAGGCCUUUAUUUUUAGACUAUUAAGAGUGAAUAAUAAUAGUAUGAAUGGAAGUGCAUUAGAGGUAUAGUGCAUUAGUAAAACAAAUUCAACAGGAAACGAGCACGAAACCCACGCGCGCGCCUAGUAAGAGUUGACUUUUUCCACACCACUUAAAGCUACUAUACCAUUCUUUCUCCCCAAGUUUUAGCACACAAACAAAACCUUAUUUCUCUCUCCUCACUCUAUUAUUUUCAGCUGGAACCUCCAAGGGGAGAAGGAAGAAAGCUCUCUUCUCCAUUUCACCUCAAUCUUUGUUCCAAAACCUUCACAAAUCAUCACACAACUUCCACUUCACUUGGAGAGCAACUUAAGAUAGAAGAAGGACAUCAUCUCACAGUUUUUCUUUGAGUUUUUGGUAACCAAAAUUUCUGAUUUUAUCAUCUAAGGAGGUAACAAAUGAUCAACCUCUUGAAUCUUAGUUUAUAGAAGUUGUAUUGCACAUAUAACCUCAUAUAUUCAUGUGGGUAGCUUUAUUUAUGUUGGAUUUUGGUGAGUGGGAUCUAUGGACUCCCACAAUGGCUUGAUGGACUGAUUUAUUGUUUUGAUGUUAUUAAUGUUGGAUUAGUGGUUAAUCUAGUGGAAAUAGGUUGUAUUGUUGAAGGAAAGUUCAAAGGAAAUGAAGAAGGAAUUUUCCAUUUCUGCCCCUGUCCAUGCCGUGGCCCUUAGGGCAAUUUUUCGUGGUUCUAAUGACUGUUUUUUGAUGUAUAUGUGUAAUAUAGGUUGUAUAGAAAGUUUCAUCAAAAACUUUCAUGAUUUGGUUGGCCAAAUGAUGUGUUUUCGGAAAUCAGCAAAACUGGAAAUUUUUCCCGUCACUGUCCUGGCAGUAUUUUUCAAACGGCCAUAACUUUUUACUCCGAUGUCGAAAUCGAGUGCCGUUUGUGGUACUAGAAACUAGACAUUCCCAUAUUUCUAAUAGUAUAAAAUGUAUAUCCAGAUUCCACCUGAGUGAACCGUACCACUCAUUUGAACAUGACUGUCCUGUUUCACUGGUUCACUGGAGUCCACGUCCUGAGUUGCAACUUGAUGCUCAAAGAUGAGCUAGUUGUGGACAGAUUUUAAAAAUGAUUUCUUCUGAGAAAUUGUAACCUUAUGAAUGAAGUUUUCAACGCCACCAACUACGCUCAAUUCCAAGUUGAAUUGAGUGAGAUAUGACCAAACUACAGACUUGGAUUUUUGUUUGAAAAUCCUCUUUUGGCUAGUUAAAUGGCCUAGCUUGAUUUGGGACUUGUUGUUUUGGAAACUUUGAUGUCCAACAUCUACCAAACUUUAUAUUAGAUGUUAUUUGGACUUUGUUUCACAAAUAAACCAGAUUUCGGUUGGUUGCAUUGGACAAAAUGUUUAAAAAGGAAAGAAGAGUUAGAAGACAGUUUUGCCUUGGGAAAUUUCUUGAACUUUGAUGGUUUAGUUAGCUAUCUUUCCGUGUGAAUUUUCAAAUGGAACUUGAUAGAGGAGUAGUCCUCAUAUGGAGGUUUAAUUGUACAAAAUUUGGUGAUAUUCUAAGACCAUUUUGAUAUGCAAAUGAUGUCUCGAAAUUGCUCUUCGAAUCUAGAAAACUUUUCCUUUUCUCUUAGCUGAAUGGCCAAUCUUGACUUGGGACUUGUUAUUUCAAAAUUUUUGGUGUUAAUCACCUAAGGAAAUGUAUCUUGAAUGUUACUUAGACAUUGUCUACACAAAUGAACCAUGUUUGAAAAUAUUUCAUUAGCCAAAUGAUUUAGAAAAGGGAAAUGGUAGCACAAGGCAGCUUUGCCUUGAAAAUUUAGAAAUUUUCAUGACUUUGUUAACCAACUUUCUGUACGUAUUUUUCCAUGAAAUUCGAUAGAGGAAUAGCUCUUAUAUGGUACUAUAAUACUGCCAAAUUCAGUGCCAUUCCGAGUCCGUUUCAAUGCUUAACCAAAGUCCCAAAGUUUGUGAUUUGAACCUGGAAAUUGCCUAAAAGUUUCGACUUUUCAGCAACUUUGAACUACUAUAUCUUGGUGCUCAAAACUCCGACUCUUAUUCUGCUUGUUAUGUUUUAAACUUUGUUUGCAACUCUAAUUGAAUUCCAAAUUUCAGAGGUUGGUUCACAUUGUGUGAAUUUUGCUGGAUUUCCAAACUUUGCCGAAAAUCAACCCCGAAACUGUCUCGCAAGCCAAAACAGCAAUUUUGAGACAAAUUUUGAAUACCUUCCGUUUGGAAUCAUGGAAAAGUGUCUUCUAAAAACUUUUAGUACUUUGGAAGUAGUUUCCAAUGGUACUAAAUUUUCCAAUUUUGGACUCAUAGAGAGUAAGAUCUGAUUUUUCAAAUUUUACUUGCCGAAUCUGAAAUUUCCGAACUUAAAGGAAAUUGAGGGUUUCAAACUCUCCAUUUUCCUCCGAUAUUGUUAGACCAUUUUACACUUGAUUUCAAAAGCGAAAAUCAGAUUUCUCUUGUGUUUUUGAACACCAUUUCCGAGUCUCGAUUAUGAAUAAUUAAGACUCAAUUCAUGAAUUCUCCUUAGAAUGAACACUAGUACAACCUUCUCGAUAAGUAAGGGAUUUUAAGCGAUAGUGUGUAAUAGACAACUAUUGUUUGUUCAAGUGCUCAAGAAGACUUUCAAGAGGAUCUCAAGGGGAACACCUGAAGGAUUGUAUAUUCACUUACUCUUUUGUUGCAAUAGGUGAGUGUUCCAUAUAGGAGUACGCAAUUUGAAUAAGUCUAUGACAUGCUUAUUCCAUGAUCGUCAAGUGUUAAGCGCUACAUGUUAAGUAUUUACCACACUCAUGCAUAUUUAAGUAAGGUAUACUUAAAUUACUCGACAUGAAAUACUUGAAGUGUAUAUACUUCAAUUACGCUACAUGAAAUACUUGAAUUGUAUAUUUACGUGAGGUGUUUAAAUUAUUAAUUAUGCUAUGGCUGCAUAAGUCGACUGGAAUGAACCUCCUCGACUCUUAAGUGGUAAAAGUAAGAAACGGCCAAUGGUGGCUUAUUAAAAUGACUAAUGUCUACCAAUUAACCGUGAUUACUACCGUUAACCGUUUACCGUAAUUACUUACCGUUUUCCUAUCUAUUUGAUUACCUGGUACUUGAUUACUUGAUUACCGUAAAUUACAUGUUCACAUGAAAUUAUCAAAUAUUGCUUACGUGUUUAUGUGUUAAUUGUUGCUAGUAAUUGCUCAUAUGAAAUUGUCCACCAUUUUAAGGCGAGUGUAUACUUUAUCUCACUCGACUUAUCAAAAAAAUAAAUUUUUACCGUUCGCCAAGUUAUUUGAUUACUUGUGCAUGUUGUAAGUUCUAAACUGAAUAUGGGCCCUGCCCUUGGUUACUGACCUACUCGAGUCAGGACUGGGCUCGGUCGGGUAGGUUGGAACCCUGGGCUAUACUCGAGUAUUACCACUGGAGGGAUAAGGCGAUGGCCAAACAGUACCAUGGGGAUCGGAAGUUAUAAGGUGCAGUUUACCGAAAUAGUUCCAAUGGAACACCGUAUCCUUCAAUGUGUGUUUAUUUUACAUAAUGAUAACCGUUUCAUGCAAAUGUGCUAUACCUGUGAUAUGCUCAAAUUACUCAUAAAAUGAUAAUUGUCUCAUGUUCCUAUGUCAACGUGCAACCCUGAACCAUACAUGCGGUAUGCUCAAUUACUUGAUUUAUUAGAACUGUUAGAGUGUCUUGGAACCUCACUAGGUUGUGUAGCUCAUUCCACGAUUUUGUUUUCCUUAACAGGGUUCGAAACUAAGAGUGCUCAUAAAUAGUACUGGAUUGCUUUAUUUUGAAGACUUUAAGUUGUAUUACAGUAGAUGGCUGUAGUAAAAAUUCUUUUGGGAUUGUAUUACGCUUGAGAGCUGAUUAAAUUGUAAGUGUGAAAUAUUUUGGAGUACUUUAAUUAUGUAUUGAAGUUAUUUGGAGUAUUCCUAGUCUUGAAUUAUGGAUUGUACCGAUUCCUGGUGAGAGUUGGGCAGGCAUCCCGCGGAUACCCUUUGGUUUGUCUUAGGGAGAAGUGGGGGCGUCACAGUUGGUAUCAGAAUUUAGGCUUUAGAUCUUGUAGUGUAUCCUGGCCUUAAAAGUUUAGGAUGUCGGAUUGGUUUGAAAGUUAAGUGACCGCUUGUAGGGAUGAAAAUCAGAGCUGUUUCGCGUAGUCUGUGCACGGGGUGAGUUUGGGUCAAGUGGUGUUAUGGUCCUUAUUAUGUGAAUGAGUAAAAGCUUAAGUACUCUUCUAGAGUAUAAGCUAUGAAUCAUGAAUGUGAUAGGUAUAAACCCCUUUGUUUUGAUAUUUGGGAAAAACAUUUGGUAUGUAUGAUGGGUAGGAAUCUCAAAUGUGAUAAUUUACUCUUGGGAACUGGCCAACUUGAGAUGUGAAUUAUCUUAUUUCGGAUUCUUGUACCCGAGUACUCAAACGUUGAGGACAAUGCUAAGGACUUAAGAUCUCCAUUUGCGGGUAAUAAGAAUGAAUUGAUAUUUCACGUGAAUAGUUACAAGAAACCAAUAAUCGUUUGGCUAAGAUGGCACAAUAAUUAAGAUCGAGAGGUGAAGAAGAUCGUGGCCUAGAAGAUCCUUGUGUUGGGGUUAAAGUUGAACAUGUUAGGGAAUGGGGAUCAUUUAGUUUCAAUUAAUCUAGUGAAGCACUACUUGUGAUCUUUUGUAGUGGGACGAUGGGAGUAGAACUUUAGAGUUUGUGCCUUAGAGAUGGAUGUACUUUUGAUAAUCAAUUGUUUACUUUUGUUUAUUGACUUUGACUUGGUAUGAAUUUUACUUGACUAAAACUUGUGUCAUGAUUUCAUGAGCUCUAGUUUGUAUUUACUUGCAUAGUGAUAAUGUUAUUUGUGCAAGUGAUUUCAUUUUCUUUAAAAGUUGUUACUGGUAUGUGUGCAUAGUUCAAUUAUAGCUUAGUGUGAGGUUUAUACAUAUGCAUAUAGAUUAGCUGUGAAUAUGGAAAUUAGAGAACAACGAAAGGGACGUCAACCUAAACAACCCCGAAAUCAAAGAAUAGAUAAUGGGUCUGAUAUUGAUCAAAAUGCCGAGCCAAGUGCUGGGAGAGGAAAUGACCAAAUGGGAGUAGUUUUAACUCGUAUGACGGAUAUACUAGAGCUCUUAGUAGCUCAACAGGGUCAAGAGGUUGGACAAGGAAACCAACGUGGAAACCAAGAGACAGGAGAAGAUCGAGCUUUAGAACGGUUUCAGAAAUUCUUCCCGCCCAAAUUUUCUGGAGAGCCUGACCCAGAAGUGGCUGAGAAUUGGUUAGAGAAUAUAAGAAAUAUAUUCGAUGCCUUGGAUUACACAGAAGAAAGACAAGUCACCUUUGCUGUAUUUCAACUUGAAGGAGCGGCCCGAGUCUGGUGGAAUAUUAUAAGAAAUAAGUGGGAAAGAGAUCAAACUCCAAGAAUUUGGAUAAACUUUGUGCGUGAAUUUAAUGAGAAAUUUCUCCCUCCGCUUGUCCAAGAAAAGAGAGAAGACGAUUUUAUAAAGUUUCGUCAGGGAACUUUAAGUGUGGCUGAGUACGAAACACGCUUCACGAAGUUAUCUAUAUAUGCUCCAGAAUUGGUAGCUACUAAACGGAAAAGAAUAAGACGAUUUAUCUAGAAAUUACAUUUAGAAAUCCAGGAUGCCCUUGCCGCAGCACAGAUUGAAAUAUUUAGUGACGCUCUCGAGAAAACGCAAAGGGUAGAGAGCGCAAAAUUCCAACUGAGAGCCUUUCAAGCGAAUAAAAGAGAUGCAUCCGAUAAUAGACCCAAAGAAAUUGGACCAUCACCCAAAGUUAGAAAAGGAGAGGAUGGGGUACGACUAUCACUCCCUGCACCACUCAUGAUAAAUGAACCAAAAGAAAUUAUGUCACGAGGAACUCCAGUCGGACAGAUACGAUCAAAGGAAACCUCAUAAGCAAGUCAAGUCACAAUGUCUCGUCCGACCUGUGGAUAUUGUGGAAGGACAAAUCAUACCGAAAAAAACUGCUAGCUAAAGGGACGAAAAUGUAUGGGAUGUGGGAGUGCCAACCAUAAAGUUCACGACUGUCCAAGAAGGUAUCCCCGAGAGACUACCACUCAACAAGGAAAUAGAACUAUCUUUUGACAAAUCAAUGGAAGAGAAAACCGACUAAUGGCAUCUGCAAGAACAUAUGACAUAAUCACACAACAGGGUUCAGGAUUAUCUGAAAUUAUAGAAGGUAUGAAUUUUGAGAACGAAAUUUUUUUAAGGAGGGGAGGUUGUGAGGACCCGAAAAUUUUCUUAUUUUAUUUUACUAGCUUAAUUAAUAAUUUAAUUCGACUAUUUAAAAUUUAUUUAUAUGGAAAAAUGCCUCUCUUAUAUUUUUAAAGUGUUUUGUUAGAAAAGUUACUAUUCGAAAACUCGUUUAGUUCAGAACAACAAGUACACAUUUUUUGAGACUAUAUUUGAAUUAAGAGUAUAUUAAUUUUGGAAAAGUAAUAAUGAUCAAUAGUAAAUUGAGAAAAGUCGUGAGGACUCGCAAAAUUUAUUUAUUUUAAACUCCUGUUAUGAGUUUAUUUAAAUAUUUAAUUGCCUGUUUGCCCCGAAUAUUAUUUUCUAACCUUUUUAGACCCAAUUACAUGGAAUUAUGGCUUACAUGUAUUUUUAAAAUGACUCGUUUCGAAAAUUAAUUUUUGGAAAGUUAGAUUAGUGAGAAUAGCGAAUACGCGUUUGGAGAUAAUAACCGAUUUGAGAGUACAAUAAGUUUGGAAAAUUGGAGACUUGUACAUUAGCCUUGAAAUAGGUAUUUUUAUAUUUAAGUACUCAAGUGAUAGUUAGUUAUACUAUCGUUAUAAGAAUUUCUUGGAGAUUUCACUUUAUCGCGCUUAAAUCGGAAGUACGCAUUUUUACGCGUGCGAUCGAUUAAGGGACUUAAAGUCUUUAUUUUUAGACUAUUAAGAGUGAAUAAUAAUAGUAUGAAUGAAAGUGUAUUAGAGAUAUAGUGCAUUAGUAAAACAAAUUCAACAGGAAACGAGCACGAAACCCACGCGCGCGCCUAGUAAGAGUUGACUUUUUCCACACCACCGAAAGCUACUAUACCAUUCUUUCUCCCCAAGUUCUAGCACACAAACAAAACCUUAUUUCUCUCUCCUCACUCUAUUAUUUUCGGCUGGAACCUCCAAGGGGAGAAGGAAGAAAGUUCUCUUCUCCAUUUCACCUCAAUCUUUGUUCCAAAACCUUCACAAAUCAUCACAUAACUUCCACUUCACUUGGAAAGCAACUUAAGCUAGAAGAAGGACAUCAUCUCACAGUGUUUCUUGGAGUUUUUGGUGACCAAAAUUUCUGGUUUUAUCAUCUAAGGAGGUAACAAACGAUCAAGCUCUUGAAUCUUAGUUUAUAGAAGUUGUAUUGCACAUACAACCUCAUAUAUUCAUGUGGGUAGCUUUAUUUAUAUUGGAUUUUAGUGAGUGGGCUCUAUGGACUCCCACAAUGGCUUGAUGGACUGAUUUGUUGUGUUUUGAUGUUAUUAAAGUUGGAUUAGUGGUUAAUCUAUUGGAAAUAGGUUGUAUUGUUGAAGGAAAGUUCAAAGGAAAUGAAAAAGGAAUUUUUCUAUUUCUGCCCCUGUCCAUGCCGUGGCCCUUAGGGCAAUUUUUCAUGGUUCUAAUGAUUGUUUUUGAUGUAUAUGUGUAAUAUAGGUUGUAUAGAAAGUUUCAUCAAAAAAUUUCAUGAUUUGGUUGGCCAAAUGAUGUGUUUUCGGAAAUCAGCAAAACUGGAAAUUUUUCCCGUCAUUGCCCUGGCAGUGUUUUUCAAACGGCCAUAACUUUUUACUCCGAUGUCGAAAUUGAGUGCCAUUUGUGGUACUAGAAACUAGACAUUCCCAGAUUUCCAAUGGUAUAAAAUAUAUGCCCAGACUCCACCUGAGUGAACCGUACCACUCAUUUGAACAUGACUAUCCUGUUUCGCUGGUUCACUGGAGUCCAGGUCCUGAGCUGCAAUUUGAUGCUCAAAGAUGAGCUAGUUGUGGACAGAUUUUAAAGACAAUUUCUUUUGAGAAAUUGUAACCUUAUGAAUGAAGUUUUCAAGCCACUAACUACGCUCAAUUCCAAGUUAAAUUGAGUGAGAUAUGACCAAAUUACAGACCUGGAUAUUUGUUUGAAAAUCCUCUUUUGGCUAGUUAAAUGGCCUAACUUGAUUUGGAACUUGUUGUUUUGGAAACUUUGAUGUCCAACAUCUACCAAACUUUAUAUUAUAUGUUCCUUGGACUUUGUUUCACAAAUAAACCAGAUUUGGGUUGGUUGCAUUGGACAAAAUGUUUAUAAAGGAAAGAAGAGCUAGAAGACAGUUUUGCCUUGGGAAAUUUCUUGAAAUUUGAUGGUUUAGUUAACUACCUUUCCGUGUGAAUUUUCAAAUAAAAUUUGAUAGAGGAGUAGUCCUCAUAUGGAGGUUUAAUUGUGCAAAAUUUUGUGAUAUUCUAAGGCCAUUUGGAUAUGCAAAUGAUGUCCCGAAAUUGCUCUUCGAAUCUGGAAAACUUUUCCUUUUCUCUUAGCUGAAUGGCCAAUCUUGACUUGGGACUUGUUAUUUCAAAAUUUUUGGUGUUAAUCACCUAAGGAAAUGUAUAUUGAAUGUUACUUAGACAUUGUCUACACAAAUGAACCAUGUUUGAAAAUAUAUCAUUAGCCAAAUGAUUUAGAAAAGGGAAAUGGUAGCACAAGGCAGCUUUGCCUUGAAAAUUUAGAAACUUUCGUGACUUUGUUAAAUGACUUCCUGUACGUAUUUUUCCAUGAAAUUCAACAGAGAAAUAGAGAUUAUAUGGUAUCAUAAUACUGCCAAAUUCGGUGUCAUUCCGAGUUCGUUUCAAUGAUUAACCAAAGUCCCAAAGUUUGUGAUUUGAACCUGGAAAUUUUUCUAAAAGUUUCGAUUUUUCAGCAAUUUUGAGCUACUAUAUCUUGGUACUCAAAACUCUCAUUCUUGUUCUGCUUGUUAUGUUUUAAACUUUAUUUGUGACUCUAAUUUAGUUCCAAAUUUUAGAGACUGGUUCACAUUGUGUGAAUUUUGCUGAAUUUCCAAACUUUGCCGAAAACCAACCCCGAAACUGUCUCGCAAGCCAAAACAGCAACUUUGAAACAAAUUUUGAAUACCUUCCGUUUGGAAUCAUGGAAAAGUGUCUUUUAGAAACUUUUAGUACUUUGGAAGUAGUUUCCAACGGUACCAAUUUUUCUAAUUUUGGACUCAUAGAGAGUGAGAUCUGAUUUUUCAAAGUUUGCUUGCCGAAUCUGAAAUUUCCGAACUUAAAGGAAAUUGAGGGUUUUAAACUCUCCAUUUUUCUCCGAUAUUGCUAGACCGUUUUACACUUGAUUUCAAAAGCGAAAAUCAGAUUUCUCUUGUGUUUUUGAACACCACUUCCGAGCCUCGAUUAUGAAUAAUUAUGGCUCAAUUCAUGAAUUCUCCUUAGAAUGAACACUAGUACAACCUUCUCGAUAAGUAAGGGAUUUUAAGCGAUAGUGUGUAAUAGACAACUAUUGUUUGUUCAGGUGCUCAAGAAGACCUUCAAGAGGAUCUCGAGGAGAACACCUGAAGGAUUGUAUACGCACUUACUCUUUUGUUGCAAUAGGUGAGUGUUCCAUAUAGGAGUGCGUAAUUUGAAUAAGUCUAUGACAUGCUUAUUCUAUGAUCGUCAAGUGUUAAGUGCUACAUGUUAAGUAUUUACCACACUCAUACAUAUUUAAGUAAGGUAUACUUAAAUUAUUUGACAUGAAAUACUUGAAGUGUAUAUACUUCAAUUAUACGACAUGAAAUACUUGAAUUGUAUAUUUACGUGAAGUGUUUAAAUGAUUAAUUAUGCUAUGGCUGUAUAAGUCGGCUGGAGUGAACCUCCUCAACUCUUAAGUGGUAAAAGUGAGAAACGGCCAAUGGCGGCCUAUUAAAAUGACUAAUGUCUACCAAUUAAUCAUGAUUACUACCGUUAACCGUCAACCGUCAACCGUCAACCGUCAACCGUUUACCGUAAUUACUUACCGUUUUCCUAUGUAUUUGAUUACCUGGUACUUGAUUACUUGAUUACCGUAAAUUACAUGUUCACAUGAAAUUAUCAAAUAUUGCUUACGUGUUUAUGUAUUAAUUGUUACUAGUAAUUGCUCAUAUAAAAUUGUUCACCAUUUUAAGGCGAGUGUGUAUUUUAUCUCACUCGACCUACCAAAAGAAUAAAUUUUUACCGUUCGCCAAGUUAUUUGAUUACUUGUGCAUGUUGUAAGUUCUAAGCUGAACUUGGGUCAUGCCCUUGGUUACUGACUUACUCGAGCCAGGACUGAGCUCGGUCGGGUAGGUUGGAACCCUGGGCCACCAUUUUGGUAUACUCGAGUAUUACCACUAGAGGAAUAAGGCGAUGGCUAGACAGUAUCAUCGGGAUCGGAAGUUAUAAGGUGCAGUUGACCGAAAUAGUUCCUAUGGAACACCGUAUUCUUCAAUGUGUGUUUAUUUUACAUAAUAAUAACCGUUUCAUGCAAAUGUGCUAUACCUGUGAUAUGCUCAAAUUACUCGUAAAAUGAUAAUUGUCUCAUGUUCAUAUGUCAACGUGCAACCCUGAACCAUACAUGCGGUAUGCUCAAUUACUUGAUUUAUUAGAACUGCUAGAGUGUCUUGGAACCUCACUGGGCUGUGUAGCUCAUUCCACGAUUUUGUUUUCCUUAAUAGGGUUCGAUACCAAGAGUGCUCGUGAAUAGUACUAGAUUGCUUUCUUUUGAAGAUUUUAAGUUGUAUUACAGUAGAUGGCUGUAGUAAAAAUUCUUUUGGGAUUGUAUUACGCUUGAGAGCUGAUUAAAUUGUAAGUGUGAAAUAUUUUGGAGUACUUUAAUCAUGUAUUGAAGUUAUUUGGAGUAUUCCUAGUCUUCAAUUAUGGAUUGUACCGAGUCCUGACGAGAGUUGGGCAGGUGUCCCGCGGAUACCCUUUGGUUCACCUUAAGGAGAAGUGGGGGCGUUGCAAUAGGUGUAUAAAAUCAAGACUCGUUCUGAUGGAUCUGUGGAAUGCUACAAAACUCGUUUGGUUACUAAAGGAUUCACCCAAGAAUAUGGGAUUGAUUAUGAAGAAACUUUUGUUCUUGUGGCCCAUAUCACAUCUAUAAGAUCCUUGCUUAUUGUUGCUACUGUUCGUCAGUGGAAUAUUUUUCAAAUGGAUGUAAAAAAAAUGCUUGUCUCAAUGGUGAUCUUUCUGAAAAAGUAUACAUGUCUCCUCCUCUUGGCUAUGAUCAUCCUCCAAACAAAGUCUAUCAUCCAAAAGAAAACACUCUAUGGUCUUAAACAGGCUCCUCGAGCCUAGUAUUCAAAAUUUAGAGGCACUCUUGGAAAACCUGGCUUUUCUAACAGCUCAUAUGAUUUUGCAUUAUUCACCAAAAAAUCUUCAUCCGGAAUCAUUCUGCUUCUUCUCUAUGUGGAUGAUAUGCUGAUCACUGGUGACGACAGAGUAGGAAUUGAAACCUUAAAGGAAUUUCUUAGCACACAAUUUGAGAUGAAGAAUUUGGGGAUAGUCUAAUACUUUCUUAGUCUUGAGGUCUCUAAGUCCUCUACGGGUUACUAUUUAUCCCAAACCAAGUAUGCAUCAGAUCUUCUCUCUCGUGUUGGUAUAACAGAUUCCAAAACUAUUAACAUUCCACUUGAAACUAAUAUCCAGUUACGUCCAAAUGAUGGAGAACUUCUAAGUAACUCUACUUGGAAUCAUCAGUUAGUCAGAAAUCUAGUCCAUUUAAUGAUCACUCAACCAGAUAUAGCUUGUGUUGUAUACUUGGUGAGCCAAUUCAUGUCAAGUCCAUGUCCCACUCACUAUGCUGCAGUUCUUCGAAUCUUGCACUAUGUGAAAAGAACCAUCUAUCAUGGAUUGCAUUUUUCCUCAUCAUCUUUUUUUUUUGGCUAAUCCCGACAAAGGGAAGGGACGCCACCCCCGCUUUUAUUCAUAGUGGAAGUUGUAGUACAGAGAGAAGAUCAGAGGACAGAAGACCGAGGAUUAGGGGUUUCGCACCGUCCUAAGGGAAGGGAACCCCAAGCUAUCGAGGCUAACUCAUCCACGGGCUAGCCGCAGCCAGUCACUCUAGUGCUCAUAGAGCUGAACAGCUUGAUGAGGGUGGGCUACCCCUACAUUAGCCAAAGCAUCUGCUACCUUGUUAGCCUCCCUAAAGCAAUGAGAGAAUCUAGACGGGUCCCUAACCAGGUUCCAAAUCUGCCGGACCUCCCCACGAAUAUGCCAAGGACACUGCAAGCGACGUUGAAGAAUGCCAACCAAGACCAGAGAGUCCAACUGGAUGCUCACAUCUGUAACCCCCUUCUGACCACAUAUCCGAAGGCCCGUCAAGAGAGCUAGUGUUUCGGCAUGAAGACUAGAUGUCGCCCCGAAGAAAGCCGAAAACCCCACCAAUGGUCGCCCCAUAAUGUCCCGUAAAACCCCACCCACCCCGCCUAACCCAGGAUUGCCCUUGGAGCAGCCAUCCGUGUUCAGGGUGAACUCCCCCUCUAUAGCUGGUUUCCAACAAACCAAUUUAAAACCAAAACUCCUACGUGACUGAGAUGCCCAUUCACACAACUGCAAGAAUGACUGGGCAUCAAUCCGCUCCUUGAGCCGACCUUCAACCAAAACUUGAGUCUCCCGAAAGAUAGCCUGACAAAUGGAACUGGAUUGCGGCUGAAUACCUUCAAAAACUGCAUGAUUCCUCGCCUUCUAAAGAUGCCAGCAGAUAAGGCUCGGCAGAAUAUGGUAGAUAGCCUACCGUCUCUUCGAUUUGGGCGAGGCCAACCACCAAGAAGCGAGGCGGGCCCGCACGUACGGAACUGAACUAGAGAUGCCACACAGCCCCUCGAAAAACCCCCAGACUGCCUCCGCAACCUGACCAGUCGAAAAAACAUGUUCAAAAGACUCGACCGACGGAUGAGAGCAACACCGACAUUUGGAAGCUACCUGAAAACCAAGCGUGUGGAGCACGUCAUCCAACGGCAGCCGGCCCCAUCGGAGACGACCCAUGAAGAAUGAUACUUUGGCUGGGGUCGGCCUUUGCCAAACCCAAGAAAACAUAAAUGAAGAGUUACCAACCGAGCGUACCUCCUGAUAGGCCGAGGCUAAGGAGAGCUUGCCAAACCUUGCCGGCAUCCAUACUACCUCAUCCACACUCUGUUCAGCGGGAACCGACUUACUCAACACCACAGCAGUAAUAUCCAUUGGAAGCACCUGAGACAGGAGCUGGACAUUCCAGUGACCCUGAAUGAUGAAGUCUCGGAAAGAUAGAUUCAACACAACUGGAGACCUAAGAAAUAAAGCACCACUCCCCAACCAAUUAUUGUACCAGAAAUGACACGACCCGUCCUGAACCAACCACAGCAUGGAGAGCUCGACCUGUCGACUGACAUCCUGCAUCUGCCUCUAAGUUGCUGAAGAAAAUGGCUUGCGCUCCGCCUGGCAAGGAUGAAUUCCCCAACAAUACUUUGCGUGCAUGAAGGUAGUCCAAAGAGAUGACCCUGUCCGAAACUGCCACCAUAACUUGUAUGAAAAAGCUGUAUAUACAUCCCUGAGCCUCCGAAACCCCACACCUCCUUCCUCAGGUGGAAGACACAGUUUACUCCAACCCAUCCAAUGGUACCUGAGGCCCUCCUCCGACGAACCCCAUGAAAAGUUGGCACAAGCUCUCUCUAUGAUUCUAAACACUGCUCUGGACAUCACUGCAGCAGAAAGAAAAUGGAUUGGAAUAGCGAAAAGAACAUGCUUGAUCAGAGUGAGCCCCCUCCCCGAAGAUAAAAACUUUGACUUCCAAGACAAGAUUUUCCCUAGCACCUUUUGACACACCUCCGCAAAGUAGCUCGUCUUGCACCUGCCAACGUACAAAGGGAAACCUAAGUAGCGGGUAGGAAAUGCCUGCCGCGAGAAACCCGUAAUCCGCUCAAUUACCCUACGAUGAGCCACGGACAGGGACAGGGACGGGUGGACCAAAUAACCACUCUUUUGAACGUUGAGCAUUUGACCGGAAGACCGCUGAUACGCAUCCAAUACCCUCAUAACACGACGAAGAGCUGUCAUGGACCCAUUAGUAAGGAUUAACACAUCAUCCGCAAACGCUAAGUGGGUUACUUCCGGGCAAUCCUGGGGUACCGUAAAUCCCAAAAAUGACGGCUGGACCACCAGAUUAUUCAACCCUCUUGAGAGAACCUCUACUCCUAUAACAAAUAGUGUAGGGGAGAGCGGGUCCCCCUGACGGAGUCCCCUGAAAGACUUGAAAAAGCCGUGUGCCGCCCCAUUGACCAUGAUCGAAAACCAGACGUUUGAGAUCAGGCACCAAACCAUGUCAAUGAAUCGUUCGCCAAAUCCAAACUUCCUCAAUACCCCAAUCAGAUUGAGCCAAGACACCCGAUCAUAUGCCUUGGCCAUGUCCAAUUUUAGUACGACAUUCCCUCCUCUCGACUUUUUCCUGAUGCCCGCAACAAUUUCUUGCGCUAACAGGUAGUUCUCCACAAUGUUACGGCCCCGGACAAACCCCUACUGCUGGGGGGAGAUCAGCUUUGGCAAAAGACCAGCUAACCGGUCCGCCAAGAGAUGCGACAGAACCUUAUUAAUGAAAUUACAUAGGCUGAUAGGCCUAAAAUUAGAAAAAUCUUGAGGAUUGGAUACUUUCGGAAUAAGGACAAUAGAUGUCGAGAUAAUAAAUCGCGGCAACUCCGCCCCACAAAAGAAACUCACCACAGCAUUAUAUAUAUCCUGGCCGAUGACCUCCCAAGCAAAGGUAAAGAACUUACCCGUGAAGCCAUCUAGCCCUGUCGCACUGUCUCCAUCCAUAGCAUGUAUCACCCUUUUUACUUUGUCCAUGGACGGAAUAUCUUCCAGGAUCAGGUUGUCCUCCCGUGAAAGUAAAGGCGGGAUUAACGGAAGCAGCUCAGAGCUGGGCACCACAGACUCUGAAUACAACCCGGAGAAAAAACGAAUGGCCUCUUCAGCGAUGUCCCCAUCCUUCUCUACCCAAAGUCCCUCCGAUGUCUUGAUACGAUGGAUUGUACCCUGAACCCUUCGUUGCCUAACCACUGCAUGAAAGAACUUAGAAUUUUGGUCCCCAUGUGAGAUCCAUUUGACCCGAGCCUUUUGACUCCAAAACUGCUCCUCUAUUGCCAAUACAUGCCGAAACUUUGCCUGUGCCUCUUGCAGGCCGAUGUGAGCCUCCUCCGAAUCCGCACGCUUUGCCGCCGUUUCUGCUUGCACCAUCUGAAGCUCAGCCACCUUAACAUUGUCAAAAAUAUUUCCAAAGGAACAUUUAUUCCAAAGCUGAAUUGCCCUCCUUGUGGCUAAAAGCUUGGAACACAGCACCCGCCAGGGAGACCCAUUUACGGGCAGCUCCCAAGAAGAGCGGAUCACUUCCAAAAGUGAGGGCGACGAGGUCCAGACAUUGAGGAAUCGAAAAGGCCAAGGCUAAUUGUCCUGAUGAGUGGCAAAGGUGAUUUUCAGAGAGGCAUGAUCUGAUGGGUAUCUCGCCAAAUGGACCACCGAGAUAGCAGCAGAAAGCUCCGCACAAUCACCAUUCACUAGGAGUCGAUCCAAUCGCUUCCACACCCGAGAUCUACCUCGUCUAUUGUUACACCAAGUAAAGCUAGACCCUGAAAAUCCCGCAUCAAAGAGCUCAGCCUCCUUCAUAAAUGGCAUAAACUCCAACCCCUCAGCAGGAAAAAAGGAACGCCCCCUCUCUCCUCAUCCGGCGACACGAUCACGUUGAAGUCCCCCCCAAUACACCAAGGACGCUGCCUAGGCCUGUCAACCAGCAGAUCUCUCCAUAGAUCCUUACGAGCCUCCACAGAGCAUCUCGCAUGGACCCAUGAACACACCAUGGCGGUGGGCAACAAAGGAUGAUGGACAUCUACCGUAAUGUGUUGAUCAGAAGACCCAACCAACGAACAAGCUAGCGGUGACUUAUAAAACAUCCAAAGGUCAGCAGACAUAUUGAAGAGCACACAGUCAAGUGAAAGCCGCAAGCGUAUAGUGUCAAUUUUAGAGACUUCCAGUUUAGGUUCACAAAUAGCCAAAAUUUGAACAUUAUGUAUACGAACUAGUCUAACCAAACGCCUCAAAUUAGGAGCUUUAGCAACUCCUCGAAUAUUCCAAAACAAUGCAUUAAUCAUGAUUCAAUGUAGAGAAAGAAUUAUGCGAAGAUGUUGAAGAUCGAAGGAAUCUGUCAGAGGGAAAUUUAGCUCGUAUACCUUUUGUUUUCACCUGCGAAAAACCCUCCUCAAGGUCUGCAGUUUGGUCUACAUGAAAUGUCAUCACCGCGAAAGCCGAUGGUCGCUCAAGCAGCCUGGCCAAACGUGGAGAUAAAUUUCCAGCAGACCGCGGCAACUCUCCUACCUCUGCAGGCUCCGCUGGGCUAGCCUCGCGCCCCAACUCUCUCCCUCCCUCACAAUCGUCCAGUCCCGCUGCACCCGGCCUAGCCAACUCACCUGGACACCCUUCCUCCAAGCCUGUGCAUUCCACCCCAGCAACUUCCACGCCAACCUCCUCCUUCUCUCCCGCCGCACGCGUCACCUCUUCCUGCCCGAUGUCUCCCACAGACAGAGAGGGACCUUCUCGGCCAGCAUUAACAGCAUCAUCAUGCUCUGCAGGUUCACAUGAGCCCCCUUGCGUGACAACUCUGGGAGCAGGUUCCUUGUCGCUGCCAUUGCUGUAAUCGUGCGGGUGAGCACUGCCACCCAUGUGUUGCUGGAACUGGUGCACUGCCACUCGGUUAGUACCAACAACAAAUCCAUGCUCUGCAGGCUCACAUGCGUACCCAUUCGUGACACCUUUGGGAACAGGAUUGACAUCGCCGUUGCUGCAAUCCUGCAGGUGAGCCCUGCCACCCAUGUUCUGCUGCGACUGGUGCACUGCUACCAUGUUCUUGCACUCACCAUUGGCUUGAGGAAACCACGCCAUGGUGUCCUCCUUGCUGCCCUCCUGUGGGUACCCACCACCUCCCCUGUUUUGAUGUGGCAUGGUACUCUUCUUGCACUCAUCAUGUGUAUGGCUGAGCCGCUAACAUGCAGAACAUUAUGACGGCAAGUUCUCCACCUCAAUGGACUGCCAGAAUCCCCCUUCCCCUUUGACUGCCACCCACACCCGCGAGCAGAGAGGCUUCAAUAGAUCGAUCUCGACACAAGCACGAGCCACGCUGGGACGUGUUCCAGAUACAGUGGCCGAAUCCAAGAAGAGAGGCAUACCAACAGGGGAGAGAAUGGAGAAGAGCGAGUGUUUGUCGUAAUAAUGAAUCGGCAACGACGGCAACGAGACCCACACCGAUACUAGUGAUGACUCACGGUGACCAUGAAAGUCCCUUGUCCACUUGAAUACCCUCGUCGGAUGCUUCCCUAAGUGCCACAGACCCCUCGUCCAAAUUCUAUUGAAGUCCGCUUCAGCCGCACACCUCAACAGAACGUGCCGAUAGUCCAACAGUCCAAUAGAGACGUGAUCCUUCAAAUUGAGCGACGAGAAAAACUUCCGCAUAGCCUCCAGGGAGGGACGACCAUGUGAGAACUUACCCACGAGAGUCCAGUGGAAAGGAGCAGCCAGCUUGUCUGCCUCCUCCUUUGAGAAAACAACUGCCGCCUCUCCUUUGAAUGUUGUGAUUGGUCUCAGAUAAAUUGGGGAGUUGGCUGGCUCUGAAAAAAGUUGGGAGAAAGACUUUUUGGUGGUCGGAGUGACCGCCUGGCCCUCCACAGCCGGCCAAAGGGUGGCCAUAGACCAAGCAGCCGCUGGUGAAACCCUACCGCACGCCUUGCUCGUUCCUAAGAUUUCGGAGUAGCCGCCUCUAGCCUAGGGUUUGAUAUACCAGUUUUAUCAUCUUCUUUAACAGUUAUGAGCAUAUUUCGAUGCUAAUUAGGCUAGUGAUCCUACUGACCAUCAUUCUACAACAGGUUACUGUUUCUUUCUUGGAGAUUCCCUUAUGUCUUGGCGAAACAAGAAGCAAUCAGUUGUUUCUUGAUCUAGUUCAGAGUCAGAGUAUCGUGCCCUUAUUGAUACUACUGUUGAGUUUCUAUGAUUGCACUGGCUCCUUUAUGACAUGGGUGUUCCAUUCUUUACCAGUACUCCUAUCUACUGCGAUAAUAAGAGUGCUAUCCAAAUCACUCAGAAUGACGUCUUCUAUGAAAAGACAAAACACAUAAAGAUUAAUGCCAUUUCGUUCAGCACCAUCUCAUACAACAAACUCUUUCUCUGGUACUUGUGGUGUCUGCAGACCAAAUUGAAGAUCUUUUCACAAAAUUCCACUCACCAGGACAAUUUCAUAUUCUCAUUUCCAAACUCAAGUUUGUUUCCACUUUAUCGCAUUGAGUUUGAGGGGGGAUGUUCAAUGUAAAUAUAGCUACUAACUAAUUCAUAUUUCUAAAGUUUUCUAUCUUGUAUCUAGUGUAUUCUAUUAUCCACUAACCACAUAUAUUUACAACAUUUACCAGCUAGCACAAUCACUACAUUUAUCAUAUCUUAUCAUACCUAUAUAAGGCAUCUCAUGUACUUGUAAACACACACUUUUAUCUAAUACAACAUUCUCUUCAUUUCCUCUUCUCUCGACUCUAUCACUCUCUCCUUUCCACUUUAUCAAUCUUCUCAUUCAUCCCUCAAGUUUCCAACUCUCAAAUAGAUACUUUCAUCAAAACACUUGUAUACUUUUCCAAAAAACUCCCACGUCUUCACUAGUUCCUCAUCCAACCACCAGGACAAUCCCAAACAGCCAUCUCCACCUGUGCCACCAUGACCACCACUACCAUGCAAUCUAUAAUCCAACUAGGAGAAGGUCGAGUUAGAAGUUAGGACUAGUCCGCCGUAAUAGUGUAAAUUUGCAAUUGUUAAGAUGUAAUUGAGAACAUGUUAUGAAGGAGAAAAGCAAUCAGUUUUUAAAAUGAAGGAUUCUUGGUGGGAUUUAUUGAUAAUUAAUGGCAUGUUACUUUUUAAAGACAUUGAGGUUUAAGAAAGAAAAGAAACUUUUUGUGAGAACUCGUAUUUUAUUUUAUUUUAUUUAUUUAUUUUAUCAAUUUAUUCACUUAUUUAUUAGUUUACUCCAAAAUAGUUAUUUUCAUGAUUAAUUACCCAAGUAUUAGUUAGUUAUACUAUCGUUACAAGAAUUUCUUAGAAAUUGCACUUUAUCGUGCAUAAGUCGGAAGUUCGCGUUUUCGCACCCGCGACUAAUUGAAGGAUUUUAGAAAAUUAUUGUUGGAUUAUUAAGAGUGAAUAAUUAUAGUAUUAAAGGAAGUGUAUUAGAGGUUUAGUGCACAAGUGAAACAAACCCGAGAGGAAACGGGUAUGAAACGCGCGCGUACGCGCACUAUUGAGAGUUGACUUUUGUGCCAAAAUUUGAACUACAACUACCAAGCUUCUUCAAGAAGCUUCACCAUCAGAUUUUUCCACUCUCUUUCUGUGACACCCCCACUUCUCCCUAAGGCGAACCAAAGGGAAUCCGCGGGACGCCUGUACAACUCUCGCCAGGACUCAAGCAAUUUCUAUUCAAACUUAUAGCGGUGCUAGAAGUCAACAACCAGAUAAUAUAAAUACAAUUAGUGCGGAAGCGUUCAAACUUAACGAUAUAUAUAACAAUCACCCAAUCCUUACAUCGAGUUUCCUUAAUACAGCCUAAAAUAUACAAUAGUCAAAAGUCUAGACAAAAGAGUUGGAAUCCUAUUACAAGAGUACACAAAAGAGAAAUUCCUCCGAAUCUCAUUCCAAACCCAAAUCCUGUUAAGGAAAACAAAUCUACAGGGUGAACAAAACACUCGUAAGGCCAAGAACACACAUGCAAGCACAUUGUUCAAGUAACAAUUUCAAUUUAACAAGUAAAGCAACAAUAUUGCAAUAAAUAACAAAUCGAGCGGAAAAGUAAGCAGAAACAAUUCAAGGAUGUCGGAGCUCUCAGGAGUUAAUUUCCACUUGUUUUGCCAAAGUCAAUCGUAUACCGUCCCGCAAUGACACUCCGUCAACUGGGUUGGUAUUUCUAUUCCAUAGAUCACCACUUAUUUCCCUCUGUCCACCGUGCACCUCCCGGGCCCACAAGACAUUUAUAAGGCGAUACUCCAUGAGUAUGCCAAGCAAGACCUCUCAUUAGGUCGAGCUCAAUUAUCUCAUGGCUCGCCAAGAUUCCCGACCAAACCCAUACCGACUCGAGUCCAAGGUCCGUCUAUGAGUUUGGGAGUCCCCCCUUUUACAUUUGAGAGUCGAGGAGAUUCACUCCAACGACGUAUGCAGCCAUAGCAUACCAUUUCAUUUCAUUCAAUCAUCUAAUUUCAUUCAAUUAAGUCAUUCAUAAUUCAUUUGAUUCAUUCGAAUCAUGAGUCAUUCAUUUCAAAUAAGAACGAGUGCGGUAAAGUACACAUUCGCCUCCAUUUUCAAAAUCUCUAAACAAUCAUAAUAAUUAAGUUUGUAUCAAGUAUUCAUACACUUGACACUCACCAAUAUAAGUAAUGAGGAAGAAAUGUCCCUCGGAGCUUUAGGCGUUCACUGUGGGAUCCUCUUGAAGGUUCUCUUAUGUGCCUGAGCAAUUAAUAAUGGGCUAUUAUAGAAAAUUUCAAAUAAUAAGAGAGGUCGUACACUAGUACGAUAUUAGAAUGUAUCUCGAAAAUCAAGUUUAGGUUUUUCUUUUGAAAAUCGAGACCCAAUAAGGUUGUAAAACUCGAGUAAGAACGGAUCAUUAUCUUUAAAAUUAUUGGACGGAAACAAGUACAUGCAAAUAAGUUUCAAAACAAACUACCGAAAUCGGAGCAGGACGGGCCAUGUCACAAUCCGGCCGGAUUCUGGCUGGAUAUCCGCCGAAUUCCUGGCUGGAUUGGAGGCAGAGACCAAUUCUCCAUUUUUUUUCAAAUUUCAUCACCAAUCUGGCCGCCGAUCCGGCCAACAACUGGCCGGAUUUAAGGCCGGAUUCUGGUGAAUAGUUUCCCGCGCAGAUUUCAAAUAGUCACAAUUUUCAAUUUUUGGUGCAAUCCUUUGAAAAAUCAUAACUCACUCCCUGAUUGUCCAAAAUUGAAAAAUUUGGUACUGUUGGAAACAUCUUUCAAAGUACUAAAAGUUUCAAGGACACCUUUCGAUGAAUCCAAGCGAAAGGCAUUCAAAUUUUGGCUCGAAGUUGACAACUUGAGUUGUCAAGACAGAUUCAAGUUGGUUUUUGGCAAACUUUGAAAAUUUGACAAAAUUCAUUCAAUUUGAACUAGCCUUUGAAAUUUGAAACUCUAUUAGAAUUGUAAUCCAAGUUUAAAAUGGAACAAAUGCAAUGAGAAUUGAAGUUUUGGGCACCAAGAUAUGGUAGUUCAAAGUUACCCAAAUUUCCUUCUUAAACAAGGGUUUUCCAAAAUCAAAUCAUGAACUUUGGAAAUUUAGUUGAACAAUGAAACGGACUCAGAAUAGCACCAAAUUUAGCAGUAUAAUACUACCAUAUAAGGACUAUUUUCCUACCAAAUUUCAUAGAUAAAUAAGCACAGAAAAUUGGUUAACCAAAUCACCAAAAUUCCAAAAUUAUAAGGCAAAUCUGCCUUGUGAGUCCCGUUUUCCGUUUUCAAGACGUUUGGCCUACAAUGCACCUCAACCAUGGUCCAUUUGUAUAGAAAAUGUCUAAGAGGUAUCCAAAACACAAUUUUGGGUGAUUAACACCAAAAAUUUCGAGUACAAGUCCCACACAAGAACAGGACAUUUAAUUAACUGAAGAAAAGUAUGUUCAACACUGGUUCAGUUUCAAACGUUGGCCACAACUCGCUCAAUUCAACUUGGAAUUGAGCGUGGUUGGUGGAGUUGAAAAACACAUUCAUAAAAAUACAUUUUCUCAGAAGAAACCAUUCUCAAAAUUUGUCCACAACUAGCUCACAUUUGAGCCUCAAGUUGUAGUUCGUGUUAUGCCCUGGAGUGAACCAAUGAAACAAGACAGCAAACUUCAAACGAAUGGUUUGGCUCACACAAGUGGAGCCAGGGCGUACAUUUUAUACCAAUAGAAAGCUGGGAAUGUCUAGUUUCCAGUGCUGCAAACGGCACUCGAUUUUGACAUCAGAAUAAAAAGUUAUAGCCGAAACAACAGGACUGCCUGGGCAAUCUGGGAAAAAUUUCCAGUUCUGCCAUACUUUGGAAAUCAACACAUUUGACCAACCAAAUCAUGUUAUUUUUCAACGAAACUUUCUACAUUAUUCAUAUAACAUGUAUACAUCAUAAACAAGACAUUAGAACCUCAAAAUUCCACACCAAAGUGCACGAACAGGGCAGGGAUAAAAUGGUCACUUUUGCUCAUUGCACCAUCCUUGAGUUUCUAUCAACAACCCAACAUUAUUCCACUAAUAUAAGCACUAAACCAACAUUAAUUUCAUCAUCAAUCAUCAAAUAAGUCCAUCCAAACCAAGUGGGAGUUCAUAGAGCCCACACAACAAUUUUCCAACAUAUCCAAACUACCCAUAUGCAUGCAUGCUCUUAAAUGUGUAUUACUACGUUCGUAAAACAAGAUUCGAAGGGUUGAUCGUCGCUUACUUGUUUAGAUGAACCAAGCAGAAAUUUCGGUCCAACAAUGCUCAAGAAAACCCGCGGAUUGCGGCUCCUUUUCUUAGCUAGAUGAACUCUCCAAGUAUUGAGCUAAGUGGUGUUCAAUUUUGGUGUGAAAUGGUUGAGUUUUGGUCCAAGAAUUUGGAAUAGAAAGCGAUGGAGCAAGUUUGGUUCUUUGCUCCUGGGGUGGCUGGCCAAAAUGAGAGAGAACAGGGAGAAUGUUUGUCCAAAAGUAGCUUCCAAAAGAAGCUUUAAUGUGUGGUCCACAAUUGCCCCAAAGUCAACUCUUCUUCGCCCGUGUAUGAGCGCGUUUUAUGCUCGAUUCCUCUCGAGUUUAUUUCUCUAGUGCACUAAACUUCUAAUGCACUUAUAUUCAUAUAAAUAUUAUUCACUCUUAAUUGUCCUAAAAUGAGGGUCUAAAGUCUCUCAAUUAAAUCGCGCGUGUGAAAACGCGUUUUUCCCAUUUAAGCGCGAUAAAGCGAAACCUUCAAGAAAUUCUUAUAACGAUGGUACUAAUAACUAUCACUUAAGUACUUAAACAUAAAAAUACUUAUUUUAGGCUUAUGUGCAAGUUUCUAAUUUUCCAAAUGUAAGGAUCGAGGACAAUCUAAGAGGGGGGGUGAAUUAGGUUUUCAAAAAACAGCUAAUGGUAUAGGCCACAUUUUUAAAAGUCUACCUUUCUUUUCUCAAAGACCACCCAAUGGACCAGAUAACAAGAGAGCACAGGUAUUCGUGAGAUGAAGAGGAGAACAGUUUAUGUAGAAAAGCAGUAAAUGAAAGUAGAGAAACAAAUCAGGGUUCAAACACAACUGAGGUUUGAACAACACUUUUAUAUACCAAGUUACUUCAAGUUGAACAAUCUUGCAACCAAUAUCUUGUGUAUAAGGGAGGGAUCACUUCCUUCUUGCCCCAAACCACACUUGGUCAAGCAAGGAAGUUUUACAAACACUCGAAGAACCCUCACUAAGCUACGCUAUUGAAGAAGCUGUGUCACACUUGAAAAACUACAAGAAGAUUGCACAAACUAAGAGUACAAAUGUUGUUUUUGAGUAUUCUAACACUUGAAUCACUCACGAUCUGAUGUAGACUUGAUGUGCAAAGUUCUGCUGAGGUGGUUGAUUUUGUUCUUUUUAUAGGAGACCAGAAAAUUCUUCAAUUAAUGCUGUCAAUGGGCAGAAAGCAACUGAAGAGUCAACUAGCCGUUGGUACUGUCGGACGUCCGAUAUUUAGUUUUUAUGCGUCCGAACGAGAUCAAUAAGUUCUGGAAGUUUUCUUGAAUCUCUUAGGACGUCCGAUCCCUUAUCAUCAUGCGUCCGAGGGUAGGAUGCACACUUGGAAUUUUUUCUUCAAUUGCUUCGGACGGCCGAUGCGUUCAGAGUGUUGCGUCCGAAGAGCAGCAAUGCUUGUCGGACGUCCGAUACUCAGGUGUUGAGCGUCCGAUCAUGAUCAGUAAUCAUAGAAGCCCUGGCUUGUCUUCUUCGGACGUCCGAGUCUGAGUUCUUCACACGUCCAAAGGUACUCAAAGGAUGUCGGACGUCCGAUAAUUUCCUUUUGUGCGUCCGACAUCAUCCUCAGCACUCUUCAUCCUUUUUGAUCUUCUUUUUUUACUUUAAAUCCACAGACCUGUUUGGUGUCAUUUCUGAAAAGGAUCUCUACAAAAAGUAUUAGUAAUAUCCAUUUGUUUUGUAAUCAUCAAAAGAUAUGAAUUGAGAUAAACAAUCUCCCCCUUUUUGAUGAUGACAAAACAUUUGGAUAGAGCAAAAUAUACGAACUGGGAUAUAACAGCUAUAACAGCUCCCCCUAACGAAGUGCAUGAGUAUACAGGAAGAAACGCAAUCAACACCAUCAGUGCUAAUCCAAAUCCAAUUCUCCCCAUUUUUAUCAUUACAAGAUUGAGUAUCAGUUUGUACGAUCCAUCAGAAGCAUUCAUAACAAACACAUUCAUUCAGCAGAUUCCAAAAGCACACAACCAUUCAUAACAACCAUUCAAAACAUUCAUAACAAACACUUAAUUAUAACAUUCAUAAACAGUAGAAAAUAUCCAGUUGUACAGACCAGGUGUUCAACACUUAGUACAAAAGUGCAAUGCAAAAGAUGAACUAUAGUCCUAGAUUAAGGUGCAGUGACCUAGUAGUGCCUAGAUGGUGAUUUUAGAUGAUCCAAACCUUCUCCUGGCCAGACGAUACUGUUCAGGGUUCUCUUCUUCCUCAGUUUCUUCAUCAUCAUCUUCAUAUGUUUCCUCAGUUGCUGGAGUCUUGCCUUUAUCCUUGGGCUGAGAACGGGAAGCUGGUGUGGUCUCAGUACCAGUAGUUGGUCCUGUGGGCACAAAUCUUGGCUCAUUUACAUUGUUCUCAGGUAUUGGAGGGACAAGAAGGUUUCUUUUUUCAAUGAAGGAGGAUUGUUGGUCAGAGGUCAUGGUCAUCAUGAGACCUUCUUCAAUAAGCAAGACAUGCUGUUUGAGGUCUUCAAGCAAGGAAAUGACUUCAGAAUUGGAUGCAAAGGACCUGCUAGCAGACUUUCUAGGAUGAAUGGUGAAAGGAGAGACAAAGUCUGACUGAUCACGAGGAGUCCUAGGAGUGACAGGGGUUUCAUGAAAAUUUUUCCUUCUAGACUCAGCCACAGUCUCCUUAUAGCACCAAUGACCUUCAAAAAAUUUUAAAUUCUUUCAUUCAAAGUAAGCUUUUGAGAAAACUGAUGAGACUGUCUUUGGGAGAUUUUCCAGAAAAAGGUAUUUCAAAAUGGGCAAAGAUAGGAGUCAGAAAUCUGCCAUAAGAGAGCUUCCUACGACUGUCAGUGCUAAUUUUGAGCAAAAACUUGCACAUUACAAAUCCAAAGUCAAUGUGGAUUUUUUUAACAAAGCAGUAGAAAAGAUAGAGUUCCAUUUUGUUUGCAUCUGUUCUGUGGCCAUCAGUUGGCACCAACAGAUUUGAAAUGAUGGUAAAGAUGAUCAGAUUCUGAGGACUGAAAUCAUCCAGUCUUGCCUCAGCAAGAGUAUUGAAUGUGGUUUGAAAAUAUGUCAUGAGUUUAGCAUUGUAAAAAUGAUGGUAGGUAAAAGGAAAUUCCUCAUACGAAAAGAAAUUUGUAAUUUUUCCUUUGAAACCAGGUUCAAUACUGGUUUUCAGAAUGGAAUUCACAAUGUCAGGGGUUAACAUGAUAUGUACAGAAUUGACUCUAGAGAUGAGUUCAGUGUGUGAUUUACCCUUUCUAAGGUUAGCAAAGAAUUGAUAAAGCAUGUCAGGGUAAAAGACAUUAGGAAUGGUCAGAAGAUGAGUCCAUUUCUAAAAUUCAAACAGUUUAAUAACGGGUUCAAGGUCAACCUUACGAAAUUCAUAGGGAAGGAUGAGCCUUUAGGUGAUAAACCCUUUUUGAGAGACUAACUCAAAUCUGUCUCUGGCUUCAUCAUCAAUGAAUUUUGGAAGAGGAGUGGGUUCUUCUACUGGCUGAGACACAGGAGUCUUUCCAGAACAUUUCCUAUUUGAGAUUUGUGUGGCAGAUGCCCCUACAUUUUGAGCCUUAGUCCUUAUCCUUGGAGACUUCCUGGUGGAGGGUUCAGGAGUUUGCUGACUCCCAGUAGUGUUUCCUUCAUUCUGCUGAUCAUCAGAGGGAUCAGCAGAUUGCUUUUUCUUAGAUUGGGGAGUGCUCUUCCUCUUUGCAGUCCUCUUUCUUUUAGCAGAAGACCUUGUGACAGUUUCGUCACCCUAGGUAGCCUGCUUUGGUUCCUCAUUUCCACCAACAAUGUUCCCUUCAGAGUUCUGCCCUUCCAUCUGCUCAUAAGAUGAUUCAGCAGUUGGAGUAACCAAUUUUCUUUGGGCAGUUUGCUUCACUUUACCACCAUGGGUCACAAUCUUCUUUUUGGGUGCCACAGGAGGUGGUUCCACAAUUUCAAUGUCUUCAUCUCUAAGUCUAAAGGAUCGUCCGGUACUAGUAGAUCCUCCUCUGAUUCUAACCAUGAUGCAAUGUGGAUAUGAUUUUUGAUGCAGAAUGUGGUGUACAAAGGAAAAAUGCAGUAAGAGCCAAAUAGAGUGCACUAAGGAGCCGCAAGGAGGGAGUUAUGUGAAAUUAGGGUUUCGUAUGUAAAUUGGGAGUUUUGGGGUAGUUGGGGGUUAGGAGUGAUUUUUAUGAGUGAUUAAUGAGCAAUAGAGGUGUAAAUGAGUUAGUUGGUUCAAUUUCUCGGAACUUGGCUUGAGGAGAGAGGAAUUUGAAUUUCAAAUAUUAGAAGAAACUGAAAGGUUGCGUCCGAGACUUAUGGAGGAAAAUGAACUGAGAAGAAUGGGUAACCGCCUUAUAGGACUCAAUUUUUGAGUGUCGGACGUCCGGACGAAAUGAAGCGUCCGACACAACCGUCCGAACCAGAGUUUUUCUGAAACUGGACGAAGAACACUGUCGGACGUCCGUUCCAAUUCAUCGGACGUCCGAUAAAGAUUGACUAGAAAUAAGACUUAGAAUAUUUUUUCUGAAACACCCAAUUUUGUUCUCAAGGACACAAAUUGAUCUAGCGGAAGAGCUUUUAUGAGGAUAUCAGCGAUCUGUUCUUUAGAACAAACAAACUCAACACAGAUUACCCCCUUGGAGACAAGAUCGCGAAUGAAAUGAUGCUUUAUAUCAAUGUGCUUAGUCCUAGAGUGUUGAAUGGAUUUUUUAUUAGAUUGAUUGCACUAGUGUUGUCACAGUACAUGGGUACACAUUCAUAUACUAAACCAAAGUCAUUCAAUGUGUUUUUCAUCCAUAACAAUUGAGCACAACAAGCACCAGCAGCAACAUAUUCAGCUUCAGUAGUGGACAAUGAGAUAGUAUUUUGUUUUUUACUAAACCAAGAGACCAAGUAAUUUCCAAGAAAGUUACAUAUGCCAGUAGUACUUUUUCUGUCUAUUUUACAACCACCAAAGUCAGUAUCAAAGAAUCCACACAAAUGAAGUUCAUGACAUUUUGGAUACCACAAGCCAAAAUUUAAGAUUCCUUUAAGAUAUCUCAAGAUUCUUUUUACCGCAUUCAAGUGUGAUUCCUUUGGACAGGAUUGAAAUCGAGCACAUAAGCACACAGCAAACAUGAUGUCAGGCCUACUAGCAGUUAAAUAAAGUAAACUUCCAAUCAUACCACUGUACUUCUUUUCCUCAACUUUUGUAACUUCUUCAUCUUUGUCAAGUUUGGUAGAUGUGCACAUAGGUGUUCCAACAGGCUUUGAAUCCUCCAUUCCGAAUCUUUUCAGCAACUCCUUGGUGUAUUUUGUUUGAUUUAUAAAUGUUCCAUCUUGGGUUUGAAUCACUUGGAGUCCAAGGAAGAAGUUCAGUUCUCCCAUCAUACUCAUUUCAAAUUCUUUUUGCAUGAUGAUGGAAAAGUCCUUGCACAAUCUCUCAUUAGUAGCACCAAAUAUGAUAUCAUCCACAUAUAUUUGCACAAUUAAAAGAUCUCGUGAGUUUUGUUUUGUGAAAAGUGUAGUAUCUACAAUGCCCCUUUUAAAACCAUUUUCAAUCAAAAAUUCACUCAGACAUUCAUACCAUGCUCUAGGAGCUUGCUUUAAUCCAUAUAAAGCUUUUGAGAGUUUAAACACGUGAUCUGGAUAAGAUUCAUUUUCAAAACCAGGAGGUUGGUCAACAUAGACUUCUUGAUCUAUAAAGCCAUUUAAGAAAGCACUCUUAACAUCCAUCUGAAAUAAUUUAAAAUUCUUGAAACAUGCAAAUGCUAAAAACAUUCUUAUGGACUCCAGCCUGGCCACAGGUGCAAAAGAUUCAUCAAAGUCUAUUCCCUCUUCUUGAGUGUAUCCCUUAGCCACCAGCCUGGCCUUAUUUCUAACAACUUCCCCUUUAUUAUUCAUUUUGUUUCUAAAAACGCACUUUGUGCCAAUGAAAGGAUGGCCUUGUGGUCUGACAACCAGGGUCCAAACCUUGUUUCUUUCAAAUUGGAUUAACUCUUCUUCCAUAGCUAAAAUCCAGUGCUCAUCAUUCAAUGCAUCAACAAUAUUUUUAGGUUCAAUAUGUGAUACAAAAGCAAGAUUAUCUACUAGGUGUCUAGAGGAACGAGUUCUGACCUUUUCAGAUGGAUCACCAAUUAUAAGCUCCCUGGGAUGGUUAUGAACAAAUUUUCAGGUUCUUGGAAGAUCAUUAGGAGUAGUGGUAUCUCUGUCAUUCACUUCUCCAGUUGGACUGACCUGAGUAUCAGUGUCCUUUGAAUCAGUUUCUGGUGAGGCAGAGUCAUGAUCAUUGAUUGCUAACUUUUUUAGUUCUUCUUGAACACCUGUAUCAUCAUCUUCACCACAACUCAUAGAGAUGUCACCAUUAGAUUCAUCAAAAGUAAUGUGUAUCGCCUCCUCUAUAAUCAGUGUUCUACGAUUAUAAACUCUGAAAUCUCUUUUGUUUUCACAAUAUCCCAAGAAAAUUCCCUCAUCAGAUUUCUUGUCAAACUUUUCAAGAUGUUCCUUGAUAUUCAAAAUGAAACAUUUACAACCAAAUACUUUGAAAUAACCAACAACAGGCUUUUUGUCAAACAUGAGCUCAUAGGAGGUUUUAUUCAAAAUUGGUCUUAGAAGAACUCUGUUCAUGGUAUAACAGGCUGUGUUUAUGGUUUCAGUCCAAAAAUAUUUUGGUAAAUUGCAUUCACUAAGCAUGGUUCUAGCAGCCUCUUGGAGAGUUCUAUUUUUUCUUUCUACAAUUCCAUUUUGUUAGGGGACUCUAGCAAUAGAAAAUUCAUGAGUAAUGCCAUUAUGAUCACAAAGUUCUGGAAAACCACAGAACUUGAAUUCUGUCCCAUUAUCACUUCUAAUCCUGAUAAUUUUCAAGCCAAGCAGAUUUUGUACUUUAGCAAAUAAUGAGGUAAAAUUCUUAAAGGUAUCAUCUUUAUGAGCAAGGAAUAUCACCCAAGUAUAUCUAGAAUAAUCAUCAACAAUCACAAAACAAUAUUUCUUACCACCAAGGCUUGUAGUUUAUGUAGGACCAAACAGGUCAAGGUGUAAAAGUUCAAGUGAUUUUGAAGUAGAAACACAUUUCUUGGGUUUAAAAGAUACCUUGAUUUGUUUUCCAAAUUGGCAGGCAUCACAAAUCCUGUCCUUUUCAAAUCUGAUUUUUGGGAGACCUCUAACAAGUUCCUUUUUAGAGAUUUCUUUUAGCAAAUCCAUAUUGAAGUGACACAGCCUUCUAUGCCAUAACCAUGGGUCCUCAUCUGCUGCUUUGAGACAUUUGAGAUAGGAGGAAUCAAUUUUUUCAAGAACAACUACAUAGACAUCAUUAACUCUUUUUCCUUUGAAAACAAUGUUGAACUUUGAGUCAAAUAUGAGACAUUCAAGCUUUUUGAACAAUACAAACAGAUUUCUAUCACACAAUUGGCUAACACUUAAUAAAUUUUAGCUCAGAUUGUCAACGAGAAGAACAUUGUGGAUAAAGGUUUGACCAUUCUUACCAACAUCACCAAUACCAACAGUUUUGGCUUUGUUAUCAUCUCCAAACGUUACCUUUCCACUUGCUUUUUGCUUGAGUUUAAUGAAUUGUGAUGCAUCACCAGUCAUAUGUCUUGAACAUCCACUAUCAAUGAACCAUUUUGAUUCUUUAGUAAUGUUAUCCUGUUUCACCUACACACAAACCCACAAGAUAAUACUUGGUACCCUUUACAUGUUGGGUCCUUGAGAGUUAGUCUUAUGUCUAACUACUCACAUGCAUCUCAUGUCAUUUCUCAUGUUUUUCUUAACAUAACAGUUAUUAUUCAUGUGACCAAAUUGACAACAAAAGUUGCAUACUGACAUUGGAUCAAUCAAAUGAAUAGAUUUAAUGAAUCUGACUUGCCUUCUCCUGUGAAUAGUAAACUCAUUUGCAUUUUGAUUCAGUCUUAUUUGAUGAGUAUUAACAUAAGGUACAGUGUCAUUCUUUUGAAAAUGGUUCUGUUUCAAAUGGUGUAACAAUUGACAUAAAUCAUCCAUCCUUUUUCUUAAGCUACAUUGCUCACUUCUGAGUAUGUCACAGAAAUUUUUCUUUUUGUAAAGUUCAGCAAGCAUAUCAGUUUCAGUCCUUUUCAGGUUAUCAUUUUCAUGCUUAAGACACUUGUUUUGUCGAAAAAGAUUUGCAUUGUCUUGUAUUAGAAAGCUAAUUUUUUGCUUUAGUUCCUUGUUUUUAACAUAGGGAUUCUUUCAAGCUAUUAUGCAUUUUUUCUAGAAAAGAAUUAACAUCAUCAUCAGAUUCACUAUCACUAUUGGUUUGAGAGUUGCAUUGUGUUACCUCUUCAUCUCCAAUGGUCAUGAAAGCCAUUUGAGCAGAUUCCUCUUCUUCUUCAAUUUCGUCUUCUGAGUUGCAAUCAUUCCAGGUAAUCUAGAAAUUGUUGAACUUUGGUUUUCGUUCAACCUUGUUUCCUUCUUUUUCUUCAUUGGACACUCAUUUGCAUAGUGUCCUGAUUGGCCACAUUCAAAACAUUUAUCAGUUAACUUCUUGUUGAACUCCAGUUUCCCUCUGUUUCUAAAGUCAUUUGACUGAUUUGGGAAGGAAUUGCUGGAUCUGUCUUUCCUAAAUCUUCUCUUAUUGAGAAAUCUUUUGAACCCUUUUGUGAUGAGUGCAAUAUCACUGUCAUCACCUUCCAAAUCAUUUUUAUCCUGUGAGGCUGUUUCAUCUUCAUCUUGUGAAGCUUUCAGAGCAAUACUCUUUCUUCCUUUUGUGUCUUCUUCAUCCUGCAUCUUAGAUUUAAGUUUCAGUUUGUAAGAAAUUAGAGAGUUAAUCAGAGAUUCAAUGGAUAAAGAGUUUAGAUCCUUGGCUUCCUCUAUGGCAGUCACUUUACUUUCCCAAUCCUUUGAUAGAGCAUUCAGAAUUUUCCUGUUCUUUUCACCUAGAGAGUACUCCUUCUCAAACACCUCUAAAUCCUUGAUCAGAUCAUUGAAUCUACAAUACAUUUUGUCGAUAUUUUCAUAAGGCUCCAUCUUAAAAGAUCCAUCCUUAGUAACCAGAAUGGACUUUUUUUGUUCUCUCACGUUGUCACUACCCUCAUGAAUUUCUCUUAGCUUAUCCCACAUUUCUUUGGCAGAUUUACAUCCUUUUACUCUAAUUGACUCAUUUGAGUCUAAGGCACUAUAAAGAACAUUCAUGACUUUGGCAUUUAAUGUGAGAUUGGUUCUAUCUUGAGUAUUCAUCUCAACUCUUAUUUUUGGGCGCAACAAACCUGUUUCUGCAUCAAAAAAGUUAGCAUCAUGCGGUCCUUCAUUCACAAUAAAUCAUAACUCAAUAUCAAUGGAUUGCAAGAAGAUAAUCAUUCUUUCUUUCCAACUAACAUAAUUGGAACCAGUAAACAUGGGAGGCUUAGUGACUGAUUGUCCCUCAACAAACAUGGUAUGAUUGGUUGUCAUUUUUACUCCAAGCCGCUUGAGUUUAAUCUCUAGCAGACCAAGCUCUGAUACCAAUUGUAAGGAUCGAGGACAACCUAAGAGGGGGGUGAAUUAGGUUUUCAAAAAACAGCUAAUGGUAUAGGCCACCUUUUUAAAAGUCUACCUUUCUUUUCUCAAAGACCACCCAAUGGACCAGAUAACAAGAAAGCACAGGUAUCCGUGAGAUGAAGAGGAGAACAGUUUAUGUAGAAAAGCAGUAAAUGAAAGUAGAGAAACAAACCAGGGUUCAAACACAGCUGAGAUUUGAACAAUACUUUUAUAUAUCAAGUUACUUCAAAUUGAACAAUCUUGCAACCAAUAUCUUGUGUAUAAGGGAGGGAUCACUUCCUUCUUGCCCCAAACCACACUUGGUCAAGCAAGGAAGUUUUACAAACACUCGAAGAACCCUCACUAAGCUACACUAUUGAAGAAGUUGUGUCACACUUGAAAAACUACAAGAAGAUUGCACAAGCUAAGAGUACAAAUGUUCCUUUUGAGUAUUCUAACACUUGAAUCACUCACGAUCUGAUGUAGACUUGAUGUGCAAAGUUCUGCUGAGGUGGUUGACUUUGUUCUUUUUAUAGGAGACCAGAAAAUUCUUCAAUUAAUGCUGUCAACGGGCAGAAAGUAACUGAAGAGUCAACUAGCCGUUGGUGCUGUCGGACGUCCGAUCUCUUAUCAUCAUGCGUCCGAGGGUAGGAUGCACACUUAGAAUUUUUUUUCGGACGGCCGAUGCGUCCAGAGUGUUGCGUCCGAAGAGCAGCAACGCUUGUCGGACGUUCAAUACUCAGGUGUUGAGCGUCCGAUCAUGAUCAGUAAUCAUAGAAGUCCUGGCUUGUCUUCUUCGGACGUCCGAGUCUGAGUUCUUCACACGUCCGAAGGUACUCAAAGGAUGUCGAACGUCCGAUAAUCUCCUUUUGUACGUCCGACAUCAUCCUCAGCACUCUUCAUUCUUUUUUAUCUUCUUUUUUUGCUUUAAAUCCACAAACCUAUUUGACGUCAUUUCUGAAAAGGAUCUCUACAAAAAGUAUUAGUAACAUCCAUUUAUUUUGUAAUCAUCAAAAGAUAUGAAUUGAGAUAAACACCAAAUUUAUUGUAUUCUCGAAUCGAUUAUUGACUCUAAAUGUGUAUUCACUAUUUUCACUAACGAGAUUCCAAAAAUUAAUUUUUGAAACAAGUCGCUCUAAAAAAUAUAAGGAAGCUAUAAAUCCAUGUAUUUAGAUCUAAAGAUGUUAGAAAAUAAUAUUCGGAAUAAAUGGUCAAUUAAAUAUUUAAGUAAACUCGAAAUGGAAUUUAAAAUAAUAAAUUUUUGUGAGUCCUCACAUCCUCUCCCCCUUAAGAAAAUUUCAUUCUCGAAAUUUAUCUUGAUUGGUAAACAGGUUUGGAUACUUUUCUCGGAUUGUUUCUUCGACUUCCCAAGUCGCUUCCUCUAACCCAUGGUUCCUCCAAAGAACUUUCACCAACGGUAUCUGUUUAUUUCUCAGCUCCUUCACUUUCCUAUCCAGAAGUUUCACAGGUUUCUCCUCAUAGGUCAGGGUUUCAUCAACUUCAAUACUCUCUGAUUGCAAAAUGUAAGAAGGGUUUGGAUGAUACUUCUUAAACAUAGAUACAUGGAACACAUUAUAGAUUCGGGAUAAGUUCGGUGGUAAUUCUAACUUAUAUGCUACACUUCCCACACGUUGGAUAAUCUUAUAAGGCCCUACAAACCUUGGUUGUAGUUUCUUUCCCUUUCCAGACAUCAAACUUGCUUUCAAUGGUGUAAUCUUAAGAAAGACUAGAUCUCCAACCAAAAAUUCUAAAUCUUUCCUCCGAUUGUCUGCAUAGCUCUUUUGACAGCUCUGUGCGGUUUGGAUUCUCUGGCGGACUAACUUUAUUUUCUCAUUAGUUUCCUCAAUCCACGACACUGUAGUCGGGUCUAAAAUCUUCCGUUCACCUAAUUCAUCCCAACAAAUCGGAGACCUACAUUUUCGACCAUAAAGGGCUUCAUACGGAGCCAUUUGUAUAGAGGAGUGGAAACUAUUAUUAUAGGCAAAUUCCACCAAAGUCAAAAAGUUACUCCAACUUUCCCCAAAAUCCAAAACACAAGUCCUCAAUAUAUCUUCAAGAGUUUGGAUUGUCCUCUCAGACUGUCUAUCGGUCUGAGGAUGAUAAGUGGUACUAAAAUUCAAUUUAGUUCCUAACACCUCUUGCAUCUUUUGCCAGAACCUUGAUACGAAUCUCGAGUUUCUAUCUGACACAAUACUCACGGAGAUUCCGUGUAACUUGAUAAUUUCAUCUAGAUAUAGCUUAGCUAACUUCUCCAAUGGAUACUUCAUGUUAAUCGGCAGAAAAUGAGCCGAUUUGGUCAGUCUAUCCACUAUUACCCAAAUAGUAUCAUGGUCUCUUUGUGUCCUCGGUAAUCCUGAUACAAAAUUCAUGGUGAUAUUUUUACAUUUCCAUUCAGGUAUCUCCAAAAGUUGUAAAAGUCCCAAUGAUUUCUGAUGCUCGGCCUUAACCUGUUGACAAAUCAAGCAAGUCUGAACAAAUUGGGCAAUUUUUUUUUUCAUAUUCUCCCACCAAUACAAACUCUUCAAGUUUUAGUACAUUUUAUUCCCUCUAGGGUGUACCGUGAAUUUCGAUCGGCGUGCCUCUUCUAAAAUCUCCUUCUUAAGCUCCUCAUCGUUUGGCACCACUAUCCGAUUCUAAAACUUCGAAGUACCAUUUGAUCCCAGGUUAAAAUCCGACUUUUCUUCUUUUUCAACUUUUUUCGACCAUUUCUGCACUUCAGUGUCCUUUUCUUGAGAUCUCUUGAUACGUUCCAACAAGGUGGAAUUCACUACAAUAUUCUCCAAAAUUACUUUUCUUGGUUCCAGUCGAGAAUUUCAAUAACUAACUGUUUCCAAUAAAUGGAGUUCCUUAAUCAUCAACCCAGCCAUUUGCAUUUGACGACUCAAAGCAUCGGCAACUGCAUUGGCCUUUUCUGGAUGGUACUUUAUAGUGCAAUCAUAAUUUUUCAGAAAUUUUAUCCAUCUACGUUACCUCAAAUUCAGUUUCUUUUGUGAAAAUAAGUACUUAAAGCUUUUGUGAUCAGUAAAAACCUCAAAUGUCACUCCAUACAGGUAAUGUCUCCAUUUCUUUAAAGCAAAUAUCACCGUUGCCAAUUCCAAGUCAUGGGUCGGGUAAUUCCCCUCAUGCGAUUUCAAUUUUCUAGAGACAUAUACUAUCACCUUGUCAUUUUGCAUCAAAACACAUUCCAAUCCUUCCUUAGAGGCAUCUGUGUAAACUACAAAGCUAUCAUCUCCAUUCGGUAGAGCUAAUACAGGUGCUCUGGUUAAGCGUCUUUUCAAUUUCUGAAAACUCUCUUCGCACUUAGAACUCCGAAUAAACUUUUCACUUUUCUUAGUCAGCUCGAUCAUUGGUCCAGCAAUUCUAGAAAAAUCUUGGAUAAAUCUCCGGUAAUACCCCGCUAAUCCAAUAAAACUCUGAAUCUCGGUAGGAUUUUCCAGUCGUUUUCAUUUCGAAACAGUUUCAACUUUAGUUGGAUCUACUUUAAUCUCAUCCUUAGAAAUUAUGUGUCCCAACAAAGUCACUUCUUUUAACCAAAAUUCACACUUGCUAAACUUAACAUAUAACUGGUGUUCCCUCAGGGUUUGUAAAAUAAUUCUCAAGUGUUUCUCAUGAUUUUUCACAUUCUUAGAAUACACUAAAAUAUCAUCAAUAAAGACCACCACAAAUUGAUCCAGAUAAGACUUAAAAAUCCUAUGCAUUAGAUCCAUAAAAGCUGCAGGAGCAUACUUAGAAAGUUUAGUGAAUUUCCCUUCAUACUCUGCCACACUAAGAGCUCCUUGUUUCAACUUGAUAAAUUCAUCUUCUCUCUUUUCUUGAAUCAAAGGCGGAAGAAAUUUCUUAUUAAACUCUCUCGUGAAAUUCUUCCAAGUCCAAGGGGUUUGAACUCUUUCUUAUUUUCCUUUUAUCAUAUCCCACCAAGCUGGAGAUACUCCCUCAAAUUGAAAAGCAGCAAAAUUCACUCGCCUAUUCUCAGUGUAGUUUAGGGCGGCGAAUAAGUUGGUCAUCCUUUCUAACCAAUUCUCCGCUAUUUCAGGAUCAGGUUUACCAAGAAACUUAGACGGAUUGAACUUUAAGAACCUUUCUAAGACUCUAUUCUCGCCUCUAUCCUGUCCCCCAGGUUGGUUAAACGAUCUAGAAUCUUGCCUACCAGUUAAGCGUUCUAGGAUAUCAGUCAUCCUAUUGGUGGCAGUAGCCACUUGAUUACCCUCAAUGUUUUUCUGGCCUUGGGUUGGUCCAGUUGCCCAUCCCUGGUCACCCCUUUAAGGUUGGACUUGUUUAGUCCCUCGCCCACGAUCUCGACCACGUCUUUGUCCUUUCAUAACCUAGGCGUGUCUAGUGCAAGAAAUAAAUCAAUUAUGCGAUGUAAAGUAGAAAGCAAGAACCAAUCAAGAAAACAUUGGAAAUAACAAUAAUUUACAUUCAUUAGCAUAUCAAGUUCAUAAGAUUAGUAAGUCAUGGGGUAGUUACAAAAAUAUAACACAUAGGUAUCACAAGAGUACUUUUAGUCACAAAAGACUAAAGUAAAAGCAAGUGUCUCAAAAGUAGGCCACACAGUCAUGCAACAUACAAUGGUCUCAGCACUUAGUAUCACCCAUACUAAUGCUAACUGUACUAGUCCAAAGGGUCAAAAGAGUCAAAAGGUCAAUCACUAGGGUCUAGUCCACAGUAGGACUACCGGGUGGAACUUUCUCCUCAAGAUCCUCCUCCUCUUGAUCAGGACUCUGGACUAUAUCCAUUGUCUCCUCCACUAAUCUAGUAGUAUCAAUCAAGAUGUCGGAAACCCGACUACGGACCUCCUCUCCCAACCUAGUGAGUCAAGCCCUAGUGCUCUAGAGCUUCUCACGAACAACUGCAGAUGUGGCCACCUCGCCCUCUAGUACCUCCUCGAAUUCCACAAUCCUCUCUCCCUGAGCGCUAACCACCUAUUUAAGCUCGUCCACCUCUACCUAUAAAUCUCGAUUAAGAUCCACUAAAUGACGAUGCUCGUCGUCCAAAGCAAGCACGAGGAGAAUAUCGGGGAUAUCUGUCAGAUGGGGAAUAGCGUACUCGAUCUCUCCUACCUAGCGCUUUUUAAUAGAUAGGCCUAGGAGGCACUACAUGAUUAUUCGCAUGGCCAUUCUCGUUAGCUGCCGGGGCUCCAUUUCCAUUUUCCAUCCCUGCAAAAUAAUCAUACUCUUCGGGUUAGAAAUUUAAUCACUAUCUAGUUCGGAUGUCGCUUAUGCAUGCCUAACCCAAUCACUAGUUUGCCCCAAGUACCACUUAAGGUAUAACUUAGUUAUCCGAUCUCAAGUUUUAAGGGUAAAGUAUCUAGUAUGUCUCCCAUAUAGAUCUCUAACCUAGAGCUCUGAUACCAACUGUGACGCCCCCACUUCUCCCUAAGGCGAACCAAAAGGUAUCCGCGGGACGCUUGCCCAACUCUCGCCAGGACUCAAGCAAUUUCUAUUCAAGCUUAUAGCGGUGCUAGAAGUCAACAACCAAAUAAUAUAAAUACAAUUAGUGCGGAAGCGUUCAAGUUUAACGAUAUAUAUAACAAUCACCCAAUCCUUACAUCGGGUUUUCUUAAUACAGUCCAAAAUAUACAAUAACCAAAAGUCUAGAGAAAAGAGUUAGAACCCUAUUACAAGAGUACACAAAAGAGAAAUUCCUCCGAAUCUCAUUCUAAACCCAAAUCCUGUUAAGGAAAAUAAAUCUACAGGGUGAGCAAAACGCUCGUGAGGCCAAUAACACACAUGCAAGCACAUUGUUCAAGUAACAAUUCCAAUUUAACAAGUAAAGCAACAAUAUUGCAAUAAAUAACAAUUCGAACGGAAAAGUAAACAGAAACAAUUCAACGAUAUCGGAGCUCUCAAGAGUUAAUUUCCACUUGCUUUGCCAAUGUCAAUCGUAUACCUUCCCGCAAUGACACUCCGUCAACCGGGUUGGUAUUUCCAUUCCGUAGAUCACCACUUACUUCCUUCCGUUCACCGUGCACCUCCCGGCCCCACAAGACAUUUAUAAAGCGAUACUCCACGAGUAUGCCAAGCAAGACCUCUCAUUAGGUCGAACUCAAUUAUCUCAUGGCUCGCCAAGAUUCCCGAUCAAGCCCAUGGCGGCUCGAAUCCAAGGUCCGUCUAUGAGUUUGGGCGUCCCCCCAUUUACAUUUGAGAGUCGAGGAGAUUCACUCCAACGACGUAUGCAGCCAUAGCAUACCAUUUCAUUUCAUUCAAUCAUCUAAUUUCAUUCAAUUAAGUCAUUCAUAAUUCAUUUGGUUCAUUCGAAUCAUGAGUCAUUCAUUUCAAAUAAGAACGAGUACGGUAAAGUACACACUCGCCUCCAUUUUCAAAAUCUCCAAACAAUCAUAAUAAUUAAGUUUGUAUCAAGUAUUCAUACACUUGACACUCACUAAUAUAAGUAAUGAGGAAGAAAUGUCCCUCGGAGCUUUAGGCGUUCACUGUGGGAUCCUCUUGAAGGUCCUCUUAUGUGCCUCAGUAAUUAAUAAUGGGCUAUUACUAAUAAUUUCAAAUAAUAAGAGAGGUCGUACACUAGUACGAUAUUAGAAUGUAUUUCAAAAAUCGAGCCUAGGUUUCUCUUUUGAAAAUCGAGACCCGAUAAGGUUACAAAACUCGAGUAAGAACGGAUCAUUAUCCUUAAAAUCAUUGGACGAAAACAAGUACGUACAAAUAGGUUUCAAAAUGAACGGCCGAAAUUGGAACAGGACGGGCCACGUCACAAUCCGGCCAGAUUCUGGUUGGAUAUCCGGCUGGAUUCCUGGCCGGAUUGGAGGCAGAGACCAAUUCUUCAUUUUUUUCAAAUUCCAUCACCAAUCCGGUAGCAUAUCCGGCCAAGAACUGGUCCGAUUCAAGUCCGGAUUCUGGUGACCAGUUUCCCGCGCGGAUUUCUUUCAAAUGGUCACAAUUUUCAAUUUUUGGUGCAAUCUUUUGAAAAAUCAUAACUCACUACCUAAUUCUCCAAAAUUGGAAAAUUUGAUACCGUUGGAAAUAUCUUUCAAAGUACUAAAAGUUUUUAGAAGACACCUUUCCAUGAAUCUAAGCGGAAUGCAUUCAAAUUUUGGCUCGAAGUUGACAACUUGAGUUGUCAAGACAGAUUCAAGUUGGUUUUUGGCCAAAUUUGAAAAUUCGGCAAAAUUCACUCAAUUUGAACUAGAUUUUGAAAAUUGGAACUCUAUUAGAGUUGUAAUCCAAAUUUAAAAUGGAACAAACGGAAUAAGAAUUGAAGUUUUGGGCACCAAGAUAUGGUAACUCAAAGUUACCCAAAUUUCCUUGUUAAGCAAGGGUUUUUCAAAAUCAAGUCACGAACUUUGAAACUUUAGUUGAACAAUGAAACGGACUCGGAAUAGCACCAAAUUUAGCAGUGUAAUACUACCGUAUAAGGAAUAUUUUUCUGCCAAAUUUCAUAGAUAAAUAAGUACGGAAAGUUGGUUAACCAAAUCACCAAAAUUCCAAAAUUAUAAGGCAAAUCUGCCUUGUGAGUCCCGUUUUCUGUUUUCAAGACGUUUGGCCUACAAUGUACCUCAACCAUGGUCCAUUUGCAUAGACAAUAUAUAAGAGGUAUCCAAAACACAAUUUUGGGUGAUUAACGCCAAAAAUUUCGAGUACAAGUCCCACACAAGAACAGGACAUUCAAUUAACCGAAGAAGAGUAUGUUCAACACUGGUUCAGUUUCAAACUUUGGCCACAACUCGCUCAAUUCAACUUGGAAUCGAGCGUGGUUGGUGGUGUUGGAGAACACAUUCAUAAAACUACAUUUUCUCAGAAGAAAUUAUUUUCAAAAUCUGUCCACAACUAGCUCACAUUUGAGCCUCAAGUUGUAGUUCGUGUUUUGCCCUGUCGUGAACCAACGAAACAGGACAGCAAACUUCAAACGAAUGGUUUGGCUAACACAAGUGGAGCCAGGACAUGCAUUUUAUACCAAUAGAAAUCUGGGAAUGUCUAGUUUCCAGUGCCAUAAAUGGCACUCGAUUUUGACAUCGGAAUAAAAAGUUGUAGCUGAAACAACAGGACUACCUGGGCAAUCCGGGAAAAAUUUCCAGUUCUGCCAUACUUUGGAAAUCAACACAUUUGACCAACCAAAUCAUGUUAUUUUUCAACGAAACUUUCUACACUAUCCAUAUAACAUGCAUACAUCAUAAACAAGUCAUUAGAACCUCAAAAUUUCACACCAAAGUGCACGAACAGGGCAAGGAUAAAAUGGUCACUUUUGCUCAUUGCACCAUCCUUGAGUUUCUAUCAACAACCCAACAUUAUUCCACUAAUAUAAGCACUAAACCAACAUUAAUUUCAUCAUCAAUCAUCAAAUCAGUCCAUCCAAACCAAGUGGGAGUUCAUAGAGCCCACACAACAAUUUUCCAACAUAUCCAAGCUACCCAUAUGCAUGCAUGCUUUUAAAUGUGUAUUACUACUUCCGUAAAACAAGAUUCGAAGGGUUGAUCGUCGCUUACUUGUUUAGAUGAACCAAGCAGAAAUUUCGGUCCAACAAUGCUCAAGAAAACCCGCGGAUUGCAGCUCCUUUUCUUAGCUAGAUGAACUCUCCAAGUAUUGAGCUAAGUGGUGUUCAAUUUUGGUGUGAAAUGGUUGAGUUUUGGUGCAAGAAUUUGGAGUAGAAAGUGAUGGAGCAAGUUUGGUUCUUUGCUCCUGGGGUGGCUGGCCAAAAUGAGAGAGAAGAGGGAGAAUGUUUGUCCAAAAGUAGCUUCCAAAAGAAGCUUUAAUGUGUGGUCCACAAUUGCCCCAAAGUCAACUCUUCUUCGCCCGUGUACGCGCGCGUUUUGUGCUCGAUUUCUCUUGAGUUUAUUUCUCUAGUGCACUAAACCUCUAAUGCACUUAUAUUCAUAUAAAUAUUAUUCACUCUUAAUUGUCCUAAAAUGAGGGUCUAAAGUCUCUCAAUUAAAUCGCGCGUGUGAAAAUGCGUAUUUCCCAUUUAAGCGCGAUAAGGCGAAACUUUCAAGAAAUUCUUAUAACGAUGGUACUAACAACUAUCACUUGAGUACUUAAACAUUAAAAUACUUAUUUUAGCCUUAUGUGCAAGUCUCUAAUUUUUCAACCUUAUUGUAUUCUCGAAUCGAUUAUUGACUCCAAAUGCGUAUUCACUAUUUUCACUAAUGAGCUUCCAAAAAUUAAUUUUUGAAACAAGUCACUCUAAAAAAUAUAAGGAAGCUAUAGACCCAUGUAAUUAGGUCUAAAGAGGUCAGAAAAUAAUAUUCGGAAUAAAUGGUCAAUUAAAUAUUUAAGUAAGCUCGAAAUGGAAUUUAAAAUAAUAAAUUUUUGUGAGUUCUCACACUUGUGCACCCCUUGCUGGCCGAAACUCCAAAGAAGAAGAAGAGCAAAACCCUUCGUCAUCUCACUUCAUUUCUUGCACCUUUUCACUCCAAAUUCAUCACAUAAAUUCACAACAACUUGGAGACUCACUUGGACUAGGAAGAGAGCAUCUUUCUCACGAUUUCUUAGAGCUCUUAGUGAUCCAAAAUUUCUGAUUUUUCAUCAUCAAAGAGGUGGUAAUCAUCUAACCUUUUAAACUUGGUUCUAGUGAGUUAAAUUUGACUUUGAAGCUUGUAGCUUCAUGUGGAUAUCCUUAUUUGGUUGAAAAUCAUUUGAGUGGGCUCUAUGAAAUCCCACAAUGGACAUGUUGGACUGAUAUGAUGAUUAUGGGUGUUAUUUAUGUUGAUUAAGUGUUAAACAAGUGGAUAUAAGUUGAAAGAGUGGAAGGAAAAUCAAAGGAAAGUUGAAGCUAAAAAGGGUCGAAUUCUGCCCUGUUCUUGCCGAGCCCUUGGUUUGAUUUUUUUGUGAUCAAAUGACCUUGAAUUUGUUGUAGAUAUGUUGUAUAGGAUGUGUGGAAAUUUUUCACCAAAAAUCAUUUGAUUUGGUUGGGCAAAAGUUGGAAUUUCGAAAUAUCUUCAAAUCUGGAAAACGGGUAACAGGGGUUCUCUGGCAGUGAAUUUUGAACGAUCAUAACUUUUUGCUCCAACAUCGAAAUCAAGUGUUUUUCAAGGCAUUUGAAACUAGACACUUCCAAUUUUCUAAAAAUAUAAAAUGUAUCCCUGAUUCGAACUGAGUGAGCCGUACUAGUUCUUCAAAGUUACCUAUUCUAUUUUACUACUGUGCUAGAGAGUCAAUGGUGUGCUGGGACUUGUUGCUUGAAUUUGAGCUAGCUAUGAACUGAAUUUUAGAAUGAUUCCUCCUGAUGAAAUGUAGAUUUAUGAAUGUAGUUUCCAACCCCAUCAACCAUGCCCAAUUCCAAUUUGAAUUGUUUUAGUUAUGGCCAAACUACAGAACUGCACCAGUGAUAGAAAACCCUAAUUUUGGCUAGCCGAAUGGCUUGGCUUGAAUUGGGACUUGUUAUUUUGAAACUUUUGCUGUCAAUUACCUACAAAAUAUAUGUUGGACAUUUCUUAAACCUUUUAUUCAUAAAUGAACCAUGUUUGAGAUGAUUUCAUUGCCCAAAGGUUCAAAAAGAAAAAAAAAUGGAAGCAUGAAGGCAGCUUUGUCUUCGGAUUUUCUUAAAUUUUGGUAGUUUAGUUAACUACCUUUCCUUGUGAAAAUUUAAGCGAAACUUGGCAGAGGAGUAGUUCUCAUAUGGAAGUUGAAUUGUGCCAAAUUUGGUGUCAUUCUAAGACUGUUUUGAUGUACAAAUAAGUUACCAAAAUUAUUCUUCCAAAUCUGGAAAAUUGCCCAACAAUCCUCAUUUUGAACCAACUUUGAGCUGCUAUAUCUUGGCGCUCAAAACUCCGAUUCUUGUUCCGUUUGUUGUGUUUUAAACUUUGAUUGUAACUCUAAUUGAGUUUCAAAUAUUAGAGGCUAGUUCAUAUACUGUUCAUUUUGCUAAAUUUCCAAAUUUGUCAAAAACCAACCCCGAAUCUGUCUUGAAAGUGCAAGUCAGUACCUUUAUGAAAUUUGAGUGUCUUCUAUUUAGAAUCAUAAAAAAGUGUCUUCUAGAAAUUUUUAGUACUUUGGAAGUAGUUUCCAACGGUACUAAGUUUUCCAAUUUUGGACCUACUGAGAGUGAGAUAUGAUUUUUUAAAAAAUGCACCUCAAGUCUGAAAUUUCUGAAUUUAAAAAGAAAUUGAGUUUUUAGAACUCUCCAUUUCCCUUCGAUAUUGCUUGACCGUUUUAUACUUGAUUUUAAAGAGAAAAAUUAGAUUUUUUUUGUAUUAUUAAACCCUACUUUAGAGUCUCGAUUUACGAGUAAUUAAGGCUCAUUUUCAUGAUAUUCUCUUAGAUUGUACAAGAGUACAAUCUUCCUUGAUAAUUAGGGGUUUUAAGCAAUAGUGUGUGAUAGAUAAUUAUUGUUUGCUCAGGCAUUCAAGGAAACCUUCAAGAGGACCUCACAACGGACGUUUAAACACUUAGAAUUGUGCACCACUCUCUCAUUUUGACUAGGUGAGUGUCAAGUGUAUUGUUACGUGGUUAAUCGUUAUUAGUGAUUGAAUAUUUAGAAAAUACUAAGUCGAGUGUGUACUUUAUCGCACUCGUUCUCAUUUAAAUGAAGUGUAUUUGAAUUACUUGACAUGAAAUAUUUGAAGUGAAUAUUUACGUGAAGUAUACUUGAAUUACUUGAUUAUAACCUACCCGAUUGACAGAGUGUCAACUUGUGGAGGUUCUUGAUCGUACAAGUGGAAAUUAGCUCCUGAGAGCUUUUAUAUCCUUGAAUUGUUUCUGUUUACUUUUCUCGCCCGAAUUGUUAUUUACUUGGAUAUUACUCUUGUACUUGUUAAAUGGGAUUGUUACUUGACAACGUGCUUGCAUGUGUGUUUCUUGGCCUUAUGAGCAAUCGCUCACCUCGUAGAUUUGUUUUCCUUAACAGGAACGGUUAUGGAGUGAAAUUCGGAGAAACUAUUGGGAUGAACUUUUGUGUUAGGGUUUCGAUUGUAAUCGAUUAGACAGCUUUUGGCAGUUGUAUAUUUUGGAAAAUUGAUGUAUUUUGAAUGGUGGUGUAAGAUGGAUAUUUAUACAUGUAUGGAAGCGACUUUACCUUCUUAUUUUGUCUUGGCGUAUUAAUUAUCAUUGUAUUAAAUUUGAACAAGAAUUGUACCGAGUCCUGGCGAGAGGUGGGCAGGUGUCUCGCUGAUACCCUUUGGUUCACCUUAGGAAGAAGUGGAGGCGUCACAGUUGGUAUCAGAGCGCUAGGUUAGAGAUUUAUUUGGGAAAUAUACUAGAAACCUUUCCUUUAAGAUUUGAGAUAAAAUGAUUUAGUCAUACUUUAAGUGAUAUCUGAGCGAGUUAGUGACUAAGUUUUAAAACUAAAAAAAUUGUGGUUGUUUUGCAGGGUGGAGAAUGGAAACGGGAACCCUGCUGCUAAUGGGAAUGGUCAUGCUAAUGGCCAUGUAGAGUCUCCUAGGUCUAGUUACUAUCGAGCUCUUGGUGGAGGAGCUCGCGUGCACUACUUGCCCGCUACUAGGUAUCUUCGAUGUCUGUGUAGGUUGACGUAUGCAUACCCGAACCACCUUGUACUAGCCCUUAACGACGAGCGUCGUCAGUUGAUGAACACCAACCGAGAUCUACUCCAGGAGAUGGAGGAGCUGAGCCAGAUGGUGAGUGCUUAGGGUGAGAGGAUUGCCGAGCUUGAGGAGGUAUUGGCAGGCGAGGUGGCCAUAGCUGAGGUCACUCGCGAUGAGCUUCAGAGGACUAGGGCUCGACUUACUAGGUUAGAUGAGGAGAUCCGAGAUCGAACUUCUGGGAUCCUAGCAGAUACUAGUAUGUUUGUUGAUGAGGUGAUGGAUAUUAUCCAGAGUCCGGCUCAGGAAGAGAAUCUGGAAGAGGAUCCUGAGGAGAAGAUUCCACCUGGUAGCCCUACUGUGGACUAGAUCCAGAGUGAUAAACCUUUUUGAUUGAUAUAGUUAGAAUUAGUUGGGGUGAUACUAGUGCUAAGGCCAUUUUAUUUUUAUAUGACUGUAUGGCCUACUUUUGAGGCACUUGACUUUACUUUAGUCGUAUGUGACUAAAAGUACUUUUGUGGCACCUAUGUGCUAUAUUUUUGUACUCCCCCAUAACUUGCUAAUUGUAUGGAUCUUAACGUGUUAAUGUGUGUAAAUUAUUGUUAUUUUCAAUGUUUUCAUGAUCGGUCCCUGUUUUAAGUAUUUUUCUCACGUAAUUGAUUAUUUCUUGCACUAGACACAACUAGGAUAUGGAAGGUCGAAGGAGUGGUCGAGGUUAUGGACGAGGGACUGGACAAGCUCAACCUCAAGGGGAUGACCAGGGAUCGGCAACUGGACCGACCCAAGGACAAGAAAAUGUAGAUGGUAACCAAGUGACUACUGCUAUUAAUAGGAUGACUGAUAUCCUUGAACGGUUAGCUGAGAGACAGGGUCCAGAACCACUUAACCAAUCUGGGGGACAAGAUAGAGGGGAAGAUAGAGCCUUAGAGAGGUUCCUGAAAUUUAACCCGCCUAACUUCACUGGUGAACCUGAUCCUGAGGUAGCGGAGAAUUGGUUGGAGAGGAUGACCAACAUAUUCGUCGCCUUAGACUAUACUGAAAAUAGCGAGUGAAUUUUGUUACUUUCCAAUUUGAGAGAGUAGCACGUUCUUGGUGGGACGUGAUAAAAGGAAAGUGGGAGAGAGGAGUUUCUUCCGCCUUUAAUCUAAGAGAGGAGGGAGGAUGAGUUCAUCAAGUUGAAACAAGGAACUCUUAGUGUAACUGAGUAUGAUGGGAAGUUUACUAAAUUUUCUAAAUACGCUCCCGAAUUGGUGACCAACGAGCGGAAAAGGAUAAGACGGUUUGUACAAAAGUUUAAUGUAGAAAUCCAGGAGGGCUUGGCUGCGGCCCAAAUCUUUACAUUUACUGAGCCUCUAGAGAAAAUGCAAAGAGUCGAAAGUGCAAGAAUGCAAGUUAGGGACUUCUACAAUAAGAAAAUAAACUUUUCAAGUCACACUUUUGGACAGGCUAGUAAGAGUACACAACCUUCCAAGAUGGGAAGAGAAAUGGGAGAAGUGAGGUCUGCUGGAGCUUCAAUGGGAGUUUUAUCUAAAGGAGGUCGUAGUGGGUCAGUUCAAGCGAGAGGAGUGCCUUCUAGUAGUUCGGUAGUGACACCACAAGUUACUUGUGGUUACUGUGGUAAAUCCAACCACUCAGAGAAUGAUUAUUGGAGAAAAUCUGGGAAAUGUUUGUUCUGUUGUAGCGCUGAACAUCAACUCGCGAGUUGUCCGAAGGCGCCAAAAAUAGGAGGUAGCACUUAAAGGCCAGAAAGGUCAACCUCUAAGCAGGCUAGUACUGGAGGUGUGACGCCCCCACUUCUCCCUAAGGCGAACCAAAUGGUAUUCGCGGGACGCCUGCCCAACUCUCGCCAGGAUUUGGUACAAUUUCCAUUCAAGUUUAAUACAAUACUAGUCAUUACCACGAAGUAAAGUAAGAAAGUGCGGAAACGAUCGAACUUAACAAUAUAUAACAAUCAUCCAAUCCUUACAUCAGUUCUCAAAAGAUACAUCAUUUUCCAAAAUAUAUAACAGUCAAGAUGUCUAAUCAAUUACAUUGAAACCCUAAUACAAAAGUACAUCCCAAGGGUUUCUUCAAGUCUUACUCCUUGCCCAUUCCUGUUAAGGAAAACAAAUUUACGGGGUGAGCAAUCGCUCGUGAGGUCAAGAAACACACAUGCAAGCACGUUGUCCAAAUAACAAUUCCAAAUCAAUAAGUGAAACAAUAACAUUCGAGUAAUUAACAAUUCAGUGAAAUGUAAACAGAAACAGUUCAAGGAUAUGGUAGCUCUCAGGAAUUAAUUUCCACUUGCUUUGCAGAUCUCAUUCGUAUAUCUUCCCAUGAUGACUCUCCGUCAACCGGAUCGAUAUUUCCAUUCCGUAGAACUCCGCUUACUUCUCAUGUCCAUCCACCGUACACUGCACCCAUCCCGCACGACAUUUAUAAGGUGAUACUCCAUGAGUAUGCCAAGCGAGAUCUCUCCAACAGAUCAAGCUUAUCAUGUAAUUCUCAUGACUCACCGAGAUUCCCAACCAAACCCAUGCCAGCUUGAGUCCCAAGGUCAGCUUAUGAGUUUGGGCGUCCCCCAUGUACAUUUGAGAAUCGAAGAGAUUCACUCCAACGACGUAUGCAGCCGUAUACCAUUUCAUUUCAUUCAAGCAUUCAAUCAUUUUAUUUCAUUCAAUGAAGUCAUUCAUAAUUUAUUCAUUUUAUUUCAAUCAUGAAUAAUUCAUUUCAAAUAAGAACGAGUGCGGUAAAGUACACACUCGCCUCCAUUUUCAAAAUCUCCAAUCAAUUAUAACAAUUAAGCAUGUAUCAAGUAUUCAUACACUUGACACUCACCAAUACAAGAAAACAAGGAAGUAUGUCCAUUUGAAGGUUCAGGUGUCCAUCGUGGGAUUCUCUUGAAGGUCAUUUUGGGUGCCUGAGUAAUUGAUAAUAAACUAUCACAUAUAAACCCCAUUUAUCAUGGAAGAUCGUACAUAUGUACAAUCUAGAAAAUAUCGUGAAGACGAGCCUAAAAUUUCUUGUAAAUCAAGGCUUUAAAGUGGGGUUCAAGAACACAAGAAAAUCUGGUUUUAAUCUUUGAAAUCAAGUGUAAAAUGAUCAAGUGAUAUCAAAGAAAAAGAGAGAGUUUGAAAAUUUUCAUUUCCUUUAAGUUAGGAAUUUUUAGAUUUGUUGUAUGUACUUUGAAAAAUCGUAUCUCACUCUCUACAAGUUCAAAAUUGGAAAAAUUGGUACCGUUAGAAACUAGUUCUAAAGUACUAAAAGUUCCUAGAAGAUACCUUUCUAUGAUUCCAAAUGGAAGAUAUUGAAAAUUUGGUUCAAAGUGGUUGUUUUGGAAUGCCAAGAAAGAUUUGGGUUUAUUUUCGGCAAAAUUUGAAAAUUCGGCAAAAUUCACACAAUGCGAACUAGCCUCUGAAAUUUGGAAUUCAAUUAGAGUUACAAUCAAAGUUUUCAACGCAACAAACGGAACAAUAAUUGGAGUUUUGAGCACCAAGAUAUAGUGGCUCAAAGUCACUGAAAUUUCCUCCUCAAACAGGGGUUUUCCAGGUUUAAAGCUUGAGGUUUGGUACUUUAGUUGAGCAUCUAAAUGAACUUGGAAUGGCACCAAAGUUAGCAUUAUUACACUACCAUCUAAGGGCUAUUCCUCUGUAAAUUUUUGUGCAAAAACUCGACGGAAAGUCAGUUAACAAAACCAUCGAAGUUCCAAGAAUUUCCAAGGCAAAUCUACCUUGUACUUUAGUUUUCCUUUUCUCAAAUAUUUGGCUAAUGAAAAUUCCUCGAACACGAUUCAUUUAUAAGGAUAAAGUCUAGAAAACAUCCAAAAUACAUUUGGUGGGUGAUUAAUACCAAGAAUUUCGAAUAACAAGUCCCAAAUCAAAAUUAGCUAUAGGUCAGUCCAAAAUUAGGAUUUUCUUUCACGAAGACAGUUCUGAAAUUUGGUCACAUCUCACUCAAUUCAAUCGGAAUUGAGCAUGGUUAGUGGCGUUGAAAACUAUAUUUAUAAGGCUACAAUUUCUUAGAAGAAAUAGUUUUAAAAUUCUGUCCACAACUAACUCAUAUUUGAGCAUCAUGUCGCUGCUUAAAACAUAGUUUCCAGUAUAGAUGAGAAACAGAACAAGCAAGUUUAUGAGGUUGGUACGGAUCACUCAGGUGGAAUCAGGACGUACAUUUUAUACCGUUGGAAAACUGGGAAUGUCUAGUUUCCAAUGCUGCAACUAGCACUCAAUUUCAACAUCGAAGCAAGGAGUUAUAGCUGUUUGAAAAUCACUGCCAGAGCAAUACGGGACAAAAUUCCAGUUUUGGUAGAAUUUCGAAAUCUCAACAUUUGCCCAACCAAAUCAAGUAAUUUUUUGAUGAAACUUUCUACACAACCUAUAUUACACAUUUACAUCAAAAUUCAGUCAUUUGAACCACAAAACAAUGCACUAAGGGUCACGGCAAUGGCAAGGGCAGAACGGGUAAAAUUUUCCUCUUCACUUCCUUUGAACUUUCUUCAACAAUCCAACUCAUUUCCACUAGAUUAAACACUAAUCCAAUAUAAACAGCAUCAAAUCUCAUCAAAUCAAUCCAUCAAGCCAUAGUGGAGUUUCAUAGAGUCCACACACAAAAUUUUCAACAAUAUAAAGCUACCCAUAUGAAUUUAUAAGCUCACAAGUGUAAGAUAACUUCCAUAAACUAAGAUUUUAGAGGUUGAUCGUUCAUUACCUCUUUGGAUGAGCAAGGCAGAAAAUUUCGGUCCCUUGGAGCUAAAGAAAAAUCGUGAGAUGAAGCUCUUUUUCUAGCUUGAGGUGAUCUCCAAGUGGUUAGCAAAGUGUAUGUAAAUUUUGAGGUGAUUUGGUGAAGAUUUAGUGAUGAAAUGAAGAAAAACUUGAUGAAGAAAUUUGGUUCUUUUCUCCCUUGGAUGGCCGGCCAGCUUAGAUGAAGAGAGAGAGAGUGUUUGAUGAAAAAUGAAGCUUCCUUGAGAAGCUAAAAUGUGUGGCUAAAAAUGCCUCAAAAGUCAACUCUCUCCCCGCGCGCGCGCGCGCGUUUCGUGCUCGAUUUCUUUCGAGUUUAUUUUACUUGUGUACUAAACCUCUAAUGCACUUCUAUUCAUACUAUUAUUAUUCACUCUUAAUAGUCUAAAAAUAAGGGUUUAAAGUCCCUUAAUUAAUCGCGCGCGCGAAAACGCGUAUUUCCGAUUUGUGCGCGAUAAAGUGGAAUUUUCAAGAAAUUUUAUAACGAUAGUAUCACUAACUAAUAAUUGAACACUUCAAACAUAAAAAUACCUAUUUCAAACCUAAUGUACAAGUCUCCAAUUUUCCAAACUUAUUGUAUUCUCGAAUCGAUUAUUGACUUCCAACGCGUAUUCACUAUUCUUACUUAGCGAACUUUCAAAAAAAAAUUAAAUUUUGAAACAAGUCAUUUUAAAAAUAUAAAUAAGUCUUAGUUCCAUGUAAUUAGGUUUAAUAAGGUUGAAAAAACAUAUUCGGAGUAAACAGACAAUUAAAUAUUUAAAUGAGCUAGCAAUAAGAAUUUAAAAAUAAAGAAAAUUUUGCGAGUCCUCAUAGGAGGGAGCCGACCAAAGGUAUCUGUUACGAUUUAUGUACUGGAUCAUCAACAGAUUCUCGAUGCGACUGAGGUGGUUGAAAGUACGAUCCCUAUUUUUCACCGUUUAGCUAAGAUUUUAAUUGAUCCGGAUGCAACACAUUCUUUUGUAAACCCUAACUUCAUGGGCGGAAUAGAUUUGAAAUCAAUUAAGUUAUCUUAUGAUUUGGAGGUUAGGACGCUUACUGGGGAUCAAAGUUUAAUCACUAACUUGGAAUAUAAGAAUUGUGAGAUCUGGGUUGGAGAACGAAAAUUACUGGCCAAUCUGAUUGGUUUAGCAAUAAAAGGGUAUGAUGUGAUCUUAGGAAUGGACUGGUUAGCCCGUUAUAAUGUCCAGUUGAACUGUAAGACGAAAAUAGUAGAAUUGUACAUUCCGGAAGAGGCAAUCCUGAAAUUGGAUGUAACGGGUAGGUUAGCCUCAUCUGCACUUAUCUCAGGGAUUCGAGUUAGGAAAAUGUUAAGUAAGAGAGUUCAGGGAUAUUUGGCUUUUCUUAUCAACACUCCUAGUGAUAAAGUGAGACCGGAGGACAUGCCUGUAGUGAAAGAGUAUCCAGAUGUCUUUCUCGAAGAGUUAGAAUCUUUACCACCGGAAAGGAAAAUAGCUUUUAACAUUGAUGUGAUUCCGAGAAUAGCACCUAUCUCUAAGACGCCAUAUAAAAUGGCUCCAGCUAAAUUGAAAGAAUUGAAGUUGCAAUUACAGGAUCUAUUGAAGCGGGGUUUUAUAAAGGAAAGUGAUUCACCGUGGGAAACCCCGGUCCUAUUUUUCAAGAAGAAAGACGGGACCUUAAGAUUGUGCAUAGAUUACCGAUGCUUGAAUGAUAUCACUAUUAAGAAUAAGUACCCGUUGCCCCAUAUUGAUGAAUUGUUUGACCAAUUGCAAGGGGCGGUAGUAUUCUCGAAAUUGGAUUUGAAACAGGAUUACUACCAAUUGAGGAUUUUGGAAAAAGAUAUACCCAAAACUGCUUUUAACUCGAGGUAUGAGCAUUUUGAAUUUGCAGUAAUGCCAUUUGGAUUGACCAAUGCACCUGCUGCUUUUAUGGAUUUAAUGUACAGGGUUUUUAAGCCUUAUCUGGAUCAAUUUGUGGUGGUAUUUAUUGAUGAUAUAUUGGUGUACUCUAAGACUGUGGAAGAUCACGAAAAACAUUUGAGAAUUAUUUUACAAACCCUGAGGGAACAUCAAUUGUAUGCUAAGUUUAGCAAGUGCGAAUUUUGGUUGAAAGAAGUGACAUUCUUAGGUCACAUAAUUCUAAGGACGGGAUUAAAGUGGAUCCAGCCAAAAUUGAAGUUGUUUCGAAAUGGAAACAACUGGAAAACCCUAUUGAAAUUCAAAAUUUUAUAGGGUUAGCAGGGUACUACCGGAGAUUUAUUAAGGAUUUUUCUACAAUUUCUGGACACAUGACUGAGUUAACCAAGAAAAGUGAGAAAUUUGUAUGGAGUUCUAAGUGUGAAGAGAGUUUCUAAGAGUUAAAAAGAUGUUUGACAAAAGCACCCGUAUUAGCUCUACCAAAUGGGAAAGAUAGUUUUGUGGUUUCUACAGAUGCUUCCAAGGAAGGCUUGGGAUGUGUGUUAAUGCAAAAUGAGAAAGUGAUAGCGUAUGCCUCUAAGACGUUAAAACCGUACGAAGGAAAUUACCCGACUCAUGAUUUGGAGUUAGCGGCUGUAGUGUUUGCAUUAAAGAAAUGGAGGCAUUACCUUUAUGGAGUAACGUUUGAAGUUUUCACCGACCACAAGAGUUUUAAGUAUUUGUGUUAUCAAAAGGAGCUAAAUUUGAGGUAACGUAGGUGGAUAAAAUUCUUGGAAGAUUAUGAUUGUACGAUAAAGUACCAUCCAAAGAAAGCCGAUGCAGUGGCCGAUGCUUUGAGUCGUCAAGUGCAAGUGGCGGAAUUGAUGAUUAAGAAAUUACACCUGUUAGAAGAAGUUAGUUAUUGGAAUUCUCGACUAGAACCGAGAAAAGUAAUUCUUGAAAAUAUUGUAGGGAUGGAACGUAUCAAAAAAGCUCAAGAAAAUGACAUUGAAGUGCAAAAGUGAUUGGAAAAACUCAAAAAGGGAGAAAAGUCGGAUUUUAACUUGGGAAUGAAUGGUAUAUUGAGAUUUCGGAAUCGGAUAGUAAUGCCAAAAGAUGAAGGGCUUAAGAAGGAGAUUUUAAAAGAGACAUGCCGAUUGAAGUUUACGGUACACCCUGAAGGGAAUAAAAUAUACCAAGAGUUGAAAAGUUUGUAUUGGUGGGAAAGCAUGAAAAAGGAGAUCGCUCAAUUUGUCCAAACCUGUUUGAUUUAUCAACAAGUUAAAGCCAAACAUCAGAAACUAUCAAGACUUUUGCAACUUUUGGAGAUACUCGAGUGGAAAUGGGAAAACAUCAUCAUGGAUUUUGUAUCAGAGUUACCUAGGACACAAAGAGGUCAUGAUGCCAUUUGGGUAAUAGUGGAUAGAUUGAUCAAGUCGGCUCAUUUUCUGCCGGUUAGUAUGAAGUACCCGUUGGAGAAGUUAGCUAAGUUAUACUUGGGUGAGAUUAUCAGCUUACACGGGAUACCUGUAAGCAUUGUGUCCGAUAGAGGCCCUAGGUUUGUUUCAAAAUUUAGGCAAAAGAUGCAAGAAA
rnacentral:lncRNA from 1 species